rnacentral:lncRNA from 1 species
UUGAAAUAAACCUUUGUUUAGACCAAUAUAACAAUGUUAUCUGCUACUUUGAAGAAUAGCUGUCUCAAUUUGUGACUGCAAGUCACCCCUGAUAAUUUGAUGCCCUCCCCCUUUCUAUGAUGUUGUUUUGGUUUUCUUGAUAAUAACAUUAGGUUAAGUACUUGGCCUACUUCAAGCAUGCUUUAACUCAUUCUGCACCUAUGGCUUUGCCAAACUUGCAAACAUGCUUUGCCAAUUUUUAGCAUGUAACUGUUGUUGUGCUGAGUAUGAAACCUAUUUAUCAGCUUCAUUAAACUAGUUCUUGCUUGCAUUUUGUGAUGCAUUUAAGUGUCUGCUUGUUGACUCAAUUUGGUUAUGUCUAUUUAAAUCAAUUCAUGUUUUUCUCAAUUUUGGUCUUUCUCUUCUGUCACUAAAACUCUUUAAAUCCCAUUCUUAGCCAAUGCUGCCUAAAUUCUGUCCUUUGGCCUUUCUAGUGUGAGCACUGCUCGGAGUUCAUUAGAGACCUUUGUGAACUCUGACACACUAGGAUUUGGUCCCUAAUCCCUCCUUGAACUAUCUUGGUUAACCACCCUAGUGUGAGCACUGCCCUGGGUUCUUGAAGCCCUUGGGAACUCUGACACACUAGGGCCUUGGUUCUAUAUGCUCAACCUUGUCAUGUGCUCACUCGGUGAAUUACUCAACUAUUGGCUAUUUUGUAUCUAUGAAUAUGUAACUUUGGGGCUGUUGUGAAUUGUGAGAAUGAAGGUCUGGCCUGUCCGGGUGUAUUUGGGCCUGCUGUAGGCUCCCUAUAGCUAUAUCUACUCUGUAAUUUACUAUAUUCGUUCUGGGUCUGUAAUAAUUAUUGUAACAAUAUUUGGGGUAUUAGUGAAACUGGGAAAGAGAUUUUUAUCUUAUACUUGCAACAAGUUGGGUAGAAAUUCUGCCUAUAGGUUUGAUAAUGUGUUAUUGUAUGUCGUGUGUUAGAAAUCAUGCCUAUAGGUAUCUUAUCAUGUUCAGUCAUUGUAUGUUAGCAAUCCUGCCUAUAGGUCCAAUACUUGGUUCAAUUGUGUUCUUUUUCUGCUUGUUAGAAACCCUGCCUAUAAGAAAUAGUGUGAUUCAAUGUGCAUACAAAGUUUUGUUUACAUGUUGCCCUACUCGCGAAUUAUAGAAAUCAUGUCUAUAGGGUCUAAAAUCGGAUUAAUUGUAGAAAGCAUGCCUAUAGGUCUGAAUCCGUUCAAUUAUCAUUUUGCCCGUUUGUUCAGGAGUUUUCAAUCACUGUGUUAUUAUCCUCACUAGAAAACAUGCCUAUAGGGUCAAAACAAGUAAUUUUGAAUAUGCCUCUGUGAUUGCCACUAUUUAUUAUUGCGUAAAAUACCUAGACAUCAUGCCAGUAGGUUUAAUCUCAUUAUGCUAAAAUUAGUAGGCAAAUCAUGUAGGUUUUGGUAAUCGUAUUAAGGAAUGACUUUUGUGUAUAACUGUCUGCCCAUUAAUUCAGUAUCACAUAGAGACGUUGCCUAUAGGAUUUUGCAACUUUAAUUAAUUAAAAUUUGUCAAUAUUAAUCAGUUUGGCGUACAUUUGUUGUCUAAAUGCGGAGCCUAACUUGAGCCCUUACUUGCUUAUAUGUGAAAUUCCUAAACUGUUUUGUAUGUCGCUUAGUAUUGUCCCUUUUGAGCAACUUAAGUUAAAGUCUAGAAUCACCCUAAAAUAAAGGUCCAAAUGCCUCCUGGACCAUAGGCAGGGGACGGGUAGUGCACGCAUAGAGCACGAUUUAGAAUUGAACUUUAGGUAAACAACUUAAAGAUAGUAAUCAGGUAGCAGGAGAUGAUAGUCUGUGCCCGCUGAAUAAUAUGAGUAACACCCCAUCUUGAAGGAGUUACGAAAUAUUAUUUAUGUUGUACGGGGUGAUCCUUUAGGCUAAAAAACUUAGGACCCCCACCUCUGUUUAAAGUCAAUCAUUUAUUUUACUGCCCAAAUCGUUUCCAUUCCCUUAGACUAAUUCAUAUAAUUCGAGUUCGGCCAGGACCUACCGUUGUGGACCUCGAGGAGUGCCUAACACCUUCUCCUCAAGGUAAUUUGAGCCCUUACCCGAUCUUUGGUGACGCAACUGGUUAAUCCAGAGUUAUUUGCAAAUAGGUGCCCUAACGCAUCUUAACCCGUUAGGUGGCGACUCUCUAUUUUAAUACACUUCCUUAAAAGAGUUGUCACGUGUCGAAACCCGAUUUUACGAGAAAAAAGGGCGCGACAUCAAGUUGGUAUCAGAGCUCUAGGUUCAUAGGUAUUUUGAGUCACAAGAAGGUUUAGUAGAGUCUCGCGGAUCGGUACCGAGACAUCUGUACUUAUCUUCAAGAGGCUAUGGAACUGUUAGGAAAGCUUCACUUCUUUGAUUCCUUAUCGUGCAAAUUUGUUGACUUCAAAAUUCUAAAUCUCUACCUUUCUAUUCUGUCACAUAUAGUGAGGACAAGCACAGCUGGAUCUGAUGAUCAGACAUUCGUGCCCACUGCUAGAGCCGCAAAAGGCUGGGGCCGGGGUAGAGGCCAAGGACAGGCACGUGGUGUAGCUAGAGCACCUGUAUGAGAUGCUAAUGAGGAGCCACCAGUAGCUCCAGUUGGGGGGCAGGCACCCGAGAUGCCUGUUACUACCCUUGUUCUUCGGGAGACCCUCGCCAAGUGUUUGAGCAUGUUUGGCACUCUAGCAAAGGUAGGGUUGAUUCCACUUGCUCUUUCCACACCCCAGGCUGGGGGAGGAGCACAGACUCCCGCAGCCCAUACCCCAGAGUAGCAGGUCCAGGUUGACCAGGUCCCAGAGGUCAUACCAGUUUAGCCGGUUGUCCUAGUUUAGCCCGGGUUACGGUAGCAGCAUCUGAGUAGGAACAUAUCUUGCUCAAGAGGUACAAGAAGUACCAUCCUUCUACAUUCAGUGGCCUAGCUACAAAGGACGCACAGGGUUUUCUUGAUGAGUGCCUUCGUAUCCUCCGUACUAUGGGUAUUGUGGAGUCGAGUGGGGUUGCUUUCACUAUGUUCCAGUUUAACAGAGUGACUUAUUAGUGGUGGCAAGCAUACGAGUUGGGUAGGGGUCGAGGCAGCUGCACUCACAUGGGCUCAGAUUUCAGAGAUGUUCAUGAGAGAGUUUGUUCCCCAGAGCCUUUAUGAUGCAUGGCGCACGGAGUCUGAGCAGCUGCGCCAGGGUGCUAUGACCGUAUCAAAGUAUGUUGUCAAGUUCAGUGAGUUGUCCAGACAUGCACCAGCCUUAGUCUCCACAGUCAUAGAGCGAGUGUCGAUUUAUCAAGGGGCUCAACCAUGGUAUUAGAUUCAGCAUGGCUCGAGAGUUAGAAACGGAUACCCUGUACCAACAGGUUAUAAAGAUCGCUCGAAGAUUGGAGGGUAUGUACGGCCAGGAGAGAGAGGAGAGGGAGUCCAAGAGGCCUCGAGAUUCUAGCACAUAUAGCGGUGCCCUAUUACAUCUCAUGUUUUUCGUACGUUAAAGUUUCGUCUUCAGUUAAUUGACGUAGACUCGCGGAUGAGAUUUUUUUGAGAUUAUAAGCAUUAUGCUAUUUCAAACACGUGAUGAGUAAAUUCGUGAAGGAGAAAAGGUAAGCUAAUAGAAGAAAAUGAGUUUUGUCGAAGUUUGGCAAUUUGAAAUAAAAUUCGGUCCAAACUAUAAUACCUGGUAUUUAUGGACUAGUGUCAUAUAAGGUACUACAUGACCAUGAUAUUAAGGUGUACAAGGUAUGUUAAAAGUGAGUAGUAUUUUAAGUACGUGGAGAUAAUUUUUAAUUAUAUAGGUAAUUGGUUAAUUAUUGGGUAAUAGGAUAUUACCUAAUUAAUUGGGGAUAUAUUGUAUAAGAAUUAAAAUGGCAUUAUGUGGCAGCCCCCCCUCCCAAUUCAUAUUAAGUGACUCAUAAUCUAGAUUGAAGGUGGCCAACUAAAAGUUAUACACAUGACACUUACGUGUAAAGACAUAAAUGAGAAGUUUGGCAUUUUGGCUUUAUUUGGCCUUAAGAUAAUCAAGUAAGUAAUCUUAUCAUUUUCUUCCUAUUUCAAAAAUUGCAAAACAGACGUUAGAAAUUCCUACAAGGAUUCAUAACAUCUUCAAAUAAGAAUUCAUAACAUCUUCAAAGAGAAUUCAUAACAUCUUCAACCAAUUCCUACAAAAUUCCAACGAGAUUUUUUUAGCACCUUAGCAACUUGAGAUUUUGCAAUUCUAAGGGAGUACGGUGCAACCUUUUUCAAGAAUAUCAUACGGAUUUUUUCUUACUCCAAAUAUGUUAAGGCUAAACCCUUCCUUCAUUUUGGCAUGAUCUCGUAAUUAUAUGAGUUUGAUAACGAGGCUUAAAGAGAAAUUCAUAUUGCUGAAUUUAUGUACAUUUCCUAGUCGUAUAAGUUACAAUAUUCUCCCUUAUCGAGAUAUUAUAUUCGAUUGAGUAUUAUUUUCUUCCAGUCAAGAGAGUAGAGCUUCUAUACAUACAGUAUUUUCACCACCAUCAAGCUAUAAUCGGUGGGCAAACCCCUAUUGGGCAACCUCUGAUCAGAUGGUAAGUUAUAUACCGAGCCUAUUGUGGCCCAGCGCCUAUGAGCGAGCCCAGUUGGCCGAGAUACAAAGCCUAGUAUGGCCGAGCGCCUAUGAGCGAGGCUACUACGCCAGAGCAGUUAUAUAUAUACCGAGCCAUAUAAGGCCGGACAACUAUUUUACUUACUGUAUUGAGAGAGUUGAUUUAGUAUCAGCAGGUAAGCAUAUCUUUAUAUUAUCUUUGACUCUCAGUUACUUCAGUUAUUAUAUUAUCAGUUCAGUUUUAGCUUUCAGUUAUUUUAUUGCCUUGCAUACUCGGUACAUUAUUUCGUACUGAUGUCCCUUUUUCGGGGGAUGCUGCAUUUCAUGCGUGCAGGUUCAGACAGACAGAUGGGUAGACUCCUCAGUAGGUGUUGCCCGAGUUUAGCUUUAUCGGUAAGCUCCACGUCCUUCGGAGUUGCCAGGUCUAGAAGUUUUGUUUACAUCUUAUGUAUAUAUGUAUAUAGGUUAUGGGUAGGUCGGGGCCCUAUUCCGAUCACAGUACAACCAUCAGUAGUAGGCUUGUAGACAUAUACAUNNNNNNNNNNNNNNNNNNNNNNNNNNNNNNNNNNNNNNNNNNNNNNNNNNNNNNNNNNNNNNNNNNNNNNNNNNNNNNNNNNNNNNNNNGUAGUUAUGACGGCCUUGUCGGUCCAGCUUUAUAUUGAUGCUUAGUCUGCAUUCGCAAGUGUCUUGCAAUGUGGCUCAUGGCCAAAGUAUGACAUUAUAUAUUCGGAGUCUCUUAGUCGCAAGUUGGUAUGCAAGGAUAGGUGAGGCACCGGGUGCUGGUCUCGCCCCCCAAGAUCGGGGCGUGACAAAAGUGGUAACAGAGCAGUUCUAUCCUAGGGAGUCUACAAAGCCGUGUCUAGUAGGGUCUUGUUUAUUGAUGUGUGGUGGACCGCAUUAUAUAAGCAGGGGACUACAGGGCAUUUAGGAGUUGAUUACCCUUCUUUCAAAUCUAAAACGUGCUAUAGAACUGAGUUAUAGGAAAUUUGAGUUAAACUUACGUGUUGGCAUUUGCAUGCACAGAUGACGAUGACUAGGAAGUCUACGGCUAGCCAGAGGAGAGAUACAGCAGGAGGUGGGGGACUAGCAGGGUAACCCCAGUAGAUGGGGCCCAAUCGGAGGCCCAGGGAGAGACCCCUACUCAGCCGUUACCGGCUCCUCCACCACCAGAGGAGAUUCCUAAGGAGACCGCACAUCCAGUUCCCCCUCUGCUUCUAUCGGAUCAGGAAUUGAGGGGUGCGGUGCAUUUGUUGACAUAGUUGGUAGCUACCCAGUAACAGGCUAGGGCAUCCGCUAGUGCAGGAUCUUUUGAGGGGUCUGGGAGUUCAAGGGUCCAAGAGUUUAUUGCUUUGAGUCCCCCAAAGUUCACGGGGACAGAUCAGAGGGAGGACUCGCAGGAUUUCAUAGAUCAGUUUCACAUGAUCUUUCGGGUUAUGCAUGCCACGGAGAAAGAGACAGUUGAGUUAGCCACUUUUCGACUCCGAGAUAUAGCCAUCCUUUGGUACGAGGGAUGGGAAAGGUCCAGGGGACGUGAUGCACCUCCAGCUAUUUGGGAGGAUUUUUCGGAUGCCUUCCUUGACUAGUACUUACCGCGGGAGAUCUGACAGGCUUGAGUCGAUCUAUUUUUACCUCAGGCACGGAAAUAUGAGUGUUCGAGAGUAUAGUUACCAUUUUGACUCAUUGGCCAGAUAUGCACCAUCCAUAUUUGCUACUAUGGGGGACAGGAUUCACAAGUUUAUAGCAGGGUUAGCCCCAGAGUUGACCGAGGCAUGUGCCACCGCUACAUUGCAGGAUAGUAUGGAUAUCUCCCGGAUUCAAGCAUUCGCCCAAAAUAUAGAAAGGGGUAGGCGUCGGCAGCAGGGUACAAAGAGGACUGAGUUGGGAUAGCGUAAGAGGAUGAGAUUUGCCAGGUCUCAGGAGCAGUCUUAGAGUAGUUAUAGUCCCCGGUACUUCGAAUGGCCAACUAGGCCUCUGCCACCUCAGUUACAGGGUUACAGGUAUGACCGUUAUACUCAAUCAGGACUAAAUGAGAGCUCACAUGCAUCGGGUUUGCAGCGACAGCGAGGUUCACGGCAGAUAUGGUCAUUUUCGUUGCGGUGUGACAUCUGUGGUAGAGUACACUUGGGCCAAUGCCGAGUCGGUUCCGAUGCUUGUUAUACAUGUGGACAUCCGGGGCAUAUGAUGUGAGAUUGCCCAAAUAGAGAUUUUGGGGGUAUGGCAUAACAAGCGAAUUCAGUAAUAGGAUCAUCUAUAUCCAUGCAUCCUUCAGGGCGCGAGUCUCAAUCUUCGGCUGGUAGAGGUCGAGGCAGAGGUAGAGGUUCCAGUUCACGUAGUAACCAGAAUCGUAGCUAUGCUUUAGCGGGUCGACAGGACCAGGAAUCUUCACCAGACGUUGUGACGGGUAUGUUGACCAUUUGCUCUCAUGAUGCUUAUGCCUUGAUAGACCCAGGAUCUACUUUAUCGUGUAUUACCCCAUUUGUCAGUGGGAAGUUUGGUAUAGUGCCUGAAAUACUAAGUGAUCAUUUUGCGGUAUCUAUACCGGAUGGAGAAUCGAUUAUUGCUAGAAGGGUUUAUCGAGGUUGUACGGUGUCAGUUUAUGGUAGUCAGACCUCAACCGACCUAGUUGAGCUAGAGAUGUUGGAUUUUGAUGCUAUCAUGGGCAUGGACUGGUUGGCAUCUUGCUAUGCCACAGUUGAUUGUUGAGAAAAGACAGCCAGAUUUCAUUUUCCGGGUGAGCCAGUCCUUGAAUGGGUAGGUAAUACAGCAACACCCGGAGGUAGGUUUAUUUCCUAUCUGAAGGCAAGGAAAAUGAUCGCAAAAGGGUGCAUUUAUCAUAUUGUGCGAGUUAGAGAUGUAGAUGCAGAGAUACCUACACUUCAGUCUAUUCCAGUAGUAAAAGAGUACGCGGAUGUAUUUCCAGAUGAACUUCCAGGUGUUCCUCCAGAGCGAGAGAUUGAUUUUGUUAUCGAUUUUCUUUUGGGAACUCAACCAAUAUCCAUCCCUCCGUAUAGAAUGGCACCUGCCGAAUUGAAGGAGUUGAAGGAGUAGUUAAAAGAUUUGCUGGAGAAAGGUUUUAUUAGGCCCAGUACCUCACCUUGGGGUGCACCGGUACUGUUUGUACGCAAGAAAGACGGCUCGCUGAGGAAGUGUAUCGAUUAUAGGUAGCUGAACAAGGUAACUAUUAAGAAUAAGUACCCACUUCCAAGGAUAGAUGACUUGUUUGAUCAGUUGUAGGGAGCUAGAUGCUUUUCAAAGAUAGAUUUGAGGUCGGGGUACCACUAGGACAGAGUUCGAGAGAAAGAUAUUCCCAAGACAGCCUUCAGGACCCGAUAUGGCCACUUUGAGUUCCUUGUCAUGUCCUUCGGGUUGACGAAUGCACCUGCCGUAUUUAUGGCUUAAUGAAUAGCCUAUUCCGGCCAUUUUUAGAUCUAUCGCGAUAGUAUUUAUUGAUGACAUUUUGGUUUAUUCACGUUCAGAGGAUGAGCAUGCGGACCACCUGCAAGCGGUACUACCACUCCGACAGAGGUUCGUAGCUUUCUAGGUUUAGCAGGAUACUACAGGAGGUUCGUAGAGGGAUUUUCUUCCCUUUUGGCACCAUUAACAAAGUUGACGCAGAAAGCAACUAAGUUUCAGUGGAUGGAGGCUUGCGAGCAGAGUUUCCAUGAGCUUAAGAACAGGUUGACCUCAGCGCCAGUUCUAGCACUUCCAGAGGGUCCAGAUGGUUAUGCCAUGUAUUGCGAUGCCUCAGGUGUCGGGUUAGGAUGUAUCCUGAUGCAACAUGGGAAAGUAAUUGUGAAUGCUUCAAGGUAGUUAAGGAAGCACGAGCGGAAUUAUCUGACCCACGACCUCGAGUUAGCUGCGGUUGUCCAUGCACUUAAGAUAUGGCGGCAUUAUUUAUAUAGUGUUCAUGUUGAUGUAUUUACAGAUCAUAAAAGCCUGCAAUAUAUCUUUAAGCAAAAAGAGUUGAAUUUAUGACAGAGGCGAUGGCUUGAGUUAUUGAAAGAUUACGAUGUUAACAUUCUCUACCAUCCAAGGAAAUCUAAUAUGGUAGCAGAUGCCUUAAGUCGCCGAUCUAUGGGUAGCUUAGCACAUGUAGAGGCCGAAAAAAGACAAUUAACUAGAGAGAUUCAUCAAUUGGCUUGUUUAGGGGGUGAUUCGUAGACUCUGACGAUGGUGGAGUUGUACUCCAAAAUACUGCAAAAUCAUCUCUCACAGCUGAAGUAGAGGAGAGGCAGUACGAGGACCCAGAGUUGGUCGAGUUGAGAGAGCGAGUUCCGCAGCAGAAGAAGUCGUUGUUAGAACUCAAGGGAGAUGGGGUUCUCGGAUACAGGGGUCGUUUGUGUGUUCCAGAAGUAGCAGGGCUACGAGACAGGAUUAUGUCAGAGGCACAUUAUUCGUGGUACUCCAUUCAUCCUGGGUCGACGAAGAUGUAUCAUGACAUUAAAGAUGUGUACUGGUGGAAUGAUAUGAAAAAAGACAUUGCUGAGUUUGUCGCUCAGUGUCCUAGUUGCCAGCAGGUGAAGGUAGAGUACAAGAAGCCUGGAGGGCUAAUGCAGACUAUAGAGAUCCCAACAUGGAAAUGGGAGGCGAAAAACAUGGACUUUAUCAGGGGUUUACCUCAUUCUCAUCAUAAGCUCGAUUCCAUAUGGGUGAUAGUCGAUAGGCUCACAAAAUUAGCUUAUUUCUUACCAGUCAGAUCUACAUAUAUAGCAGAAGAUUAUGCAAAGCUAUAUAUUAAGGAGAUAGUACGGCUACACGGAGUACCAGUAUCUAUUUUAUCUGACCGUGGGGCCCAGUUUACAACACAUUUUUAGAGGUCAUUUCAGAAAGGUCUAGGGAGUUAGGUGAAUCUCAGCAUAGCUUUUUAUCAACAGAUUGAUGGACAAGCUGAGCGCACAAUUCAGACGCUCAAGGAUAUGUUACGAGCAUGUGUGUUGGAUUUUAAAAGAAGUUGGGAUGAACAUCUACCUCUUAUCGAGUUUGCAUAUAAUAACAGUUACCACUCUAGUAUCCAGAUGGCUCCGCACGAGGCUUUGUAUGGGCGUAAGUGCAGAUCUCCUAUAAGGUGGUUUGAUGUUGGAGAAUCUGGGUUACAUGGGCCAGACCUGGUUCAGUAGGUCGUAGAGAAAGUAAAGCUUAUCCGGGAGCGACUGUUGACAGCCCAAAGUCGUCAAAAGUCAUAUUAUGACGUGCGGCGACGAGACUUAGAGUUCGGGGUUAAUGACUGGGUAUUCUUAAAAGUGUCACCUAUGAAGGACGUGAUGAGGUUCGGCGAGAAGGGCAAGCUUAGCCCACGGUAUAUUGGUCCUUAUAGGAUUAUUCGGAGAGUGGGCCAAGUAGCUUAUGAGUUGGAAUUGCCCUUAGAAUUGGAGUCUGUCCAUCCGGUUUAUCACGUAUCCAUGCUACGGAAGUGCAUUGGCGAUCCUACCCGAGUGGUGCCCACAGAUGAUGUACAGAUUAUGGAGGACUUUUCAUACGAGGAAAUUCCAGUUGCCAUCCUAGACCGACAAAUCUGUAAGCUUUGAAAUAAGGAGUUAGCCUCCGUGAAGGUUUUAUGGAGGAGCAAUAAUGUGGAAGAGAUGACGUGGGAAGCGGAGGAAGAAAUGAAGUCUAAAUACCCCCCACCUAUUUCAAACUGAAGAUAUAGCUCGAGGUGAGAUACCUCAGCACAGCUCUAUUCAGGCCAGUAGGUCAUCAGGUAAGCUCUUAUAUUUGACUUUCAGAAUUUAUAAUGGACAGCUGUGUGAAGCCAAGUGUUGCUAUUUAUAAAGAUGGGCCAUGUGUGGCAUGUAUAGUCUAUUUUCUGGCUACGUACAGGUUGGUUUUAGUCUGGUUCACAGAGGAGACUCUGGAAAAAUUUUCCCAAAAUCUCUAAGAAAAAACAUUCGAGGACGAAUGUUUUUAAGGGGGGAAGGAUGUUACAUCUCUCGUUUUUCGUGCGUUAAAGUUUUAUCUUCAGUUAAUUGACGUAGACUCGGGGAUGAGAUUUUCUUGAUAUUAUAAGCAUUAUGCUAUUUCAAACACGUGAUGAGUAAAUUCGUGAAGGAGAGAAGGUAAGCUAAUAGAAGAAAAUGAGUUUCGUCAAAGUUUGGCAAUUUGGGAUAAAAUUCGGUCCAAACUAUAAUACUCGUUAUUUAUGGACUAAUGCUAUACAAGGUACUACAUGACCAUGAUAUUAAGGUGUACACGGUAUGUUAAAAGUGAGUAGUAUUUUAAGUAAGUUGAGAUAAUUCUUAAUUAUGUGGGUAAUUGGUUAAUUAUUGGGUAAAAGGAUAUUACCUAAUUAAUUGGGGAUAUAUUGGAUAAGAAUUAAAAUGGCAUUAUGUGGCAGCACCCCCCUCCCCCCCAUUCAGAUUAAGUGACUCAUAAUCUAGAUUGAAGGUGGCCAAAUAAAAGUUAUACACUUGACACUUACGUGUAAAGAAAUAAUGAGAAGUUUGGCAUUUUGUCUUCAUUUGGCCUUAAGAUAAUCAAGUAAGUAAUCUUAUCAUUUUCUUCCUAUUUCAAACAUUGCAAAACAGACAUUAGCAAUUCCUACAAGUAUUCAUAACAUCUUCAAAUGAGAAUUCAUAACAUCUUCAAAGAGAAUUCAUAACAUCUUCAACCAAUUCCGACAAAUAUUCCAACGAGAUUUCUUAGCAGCUUAGCAACGUGAGAUUUUGCGAUUCUAAGGGAGUACGGUGCAACCUUUUCCAAGAAUAUCAUAUGGAUUUUUCCCUACUCCGGGUAUGUUAAGGCUAAACCCUUCCUUCAUUUUGGCAUGAUCUCAUAAUUACAUGAGUUUGAUAACGAGGCAUAAAGAGAAAUUCAUAUUGCUGAAUUUAUUUACAUUUCCUAGUCUUAUAAGUUACAAUAUUCUCCCUUAUCGGGAUAUCAUAUUCGAUUGAGUAUUGUUUUCUUCCAGUCAAGAGAGCAGAGAAUCUAUAUAUACAGUAUUUUCACCACCAUCGAGCUAUAAUCGGUUGGCAAACCCCUAUUGGGCAACCUCUGAUCAGAUAGUAAGUUAUAUACCGAGCCUACUGUGGUCGAGCGCCUAUGAGCGAGCCCAGUUGGCCGAGAUAUAAAGCCUAGUAUGGUCGAACGCCUAUGAGCGAGCCUUCUACGGCAGAGCAUAUAUAUAUAUAUAUACUGAGCCUUAUAGGGCCGGACAACUAUUUUACUUACUGUAUUGAGAGAGUUGAUUUAGUAUCAGCAGGAAAACAUAUCUUUAAAUUAUCUUUGACUCCCAGUUACUUCAGUUAUUAUAUUAUCAGUUCAGUUUCAGCUUUCAGUUAUUUUAUUGCCUUGCAUAUUCAGGUACAUUAUUUCGUACUGAUGUCCCUUUUUGGGGGGACGCUACAUUUCAUGCGUGCAGGUUCAGACAGACAUAUGGGUAGACCUCCUCAGUAGGUGUUGCCCGAGUUCAGCUUUAUCCGUAAGCUCCACGUCCUUCGGAGUUGCCGGGUCUAGAAGUUUUGUGUAUAUACGUAUAUAGGUUAUGGGUAGGUCAGGGCCCUGUUCCGAUCACAGUACAACCAUUAGUAGAAGCUUGUAGACAUAUCCUAUCAGUUAGUGCAGUAUGUUGGGCUUGUAGGCCUUUUAUGUAUAUUUUGUUGGUUUGCCAGCUGUAGUAGUUAUGACGGCCUUGUCGGCCUAUCUUUAUAUUGAUGUUUAGUCUGCAUUCGCAACUGUCUUGCAAUGUGGCCCAUGGCCAAAGUAUGACAUUAUAUGUUCGGAGUCCCUUAGUCGCAAGUUAGUACGCAAGGAUAGGUGAGGUAUCGGGUGCCGGUCUCGCCCCCCAAGAUCGGGGCGUGACAUGCCCGUGCCCCAGUUGCAGCCCAUCAUGGUAGAAUCUAUGUGAGUCAUCCCAUUCAUUCAACACUUCCAGCUUCCAGCAGUAUUCCGGCCACUCCCAUGUCUCAGGUUUCCUAUUAUGUACCGCCACUGUCUACUGCACCUCCUGCACGGGGUGCUUUCAGUGGUCAGUCCAGUCGAUCAGGCCCGAGCCAGUCUCAACAACCACGUCCUCCGAGAGCUUGUUUUGAGUGUGGUGACACUCUUCAUAUGGAGAGGGACUUCCGCAUACUCAAGAGGGGUGCACCUCCAUAGACUACUCAAGCUCCAAGUAUUCAACAGGGGCCCCAUACUUCUCAGGCUGUGGUUACCGCACCAGUUGCCACUCCACCUGCACAGCCAGCUAUAGGUGGAGGUCGGGCGAGUAGGGAUCGCCCUAGAGGGGGAGGCCAGGCCAGAUGUUAUGCUAUACCGACUAGGACGGAUGCAGUUGCAUCAGACUCAAUCAUCACAUGUAUUGUUCAAGUUUGUCAUAGAGAGGCAUCAGUCUUAUUUGAUCCAGGCUCCACUUAUUCCUAUGUAUCGUCUUACUUUGCUUGGUAUUUGGGUGUAUCCCGUGAUUCUUUGAGUUCUCAUGUGUAUAUGUCCACGCCUGUGGGAGAUUCCAUUAUCGUUGACCGUGCGUAUCGGCCAUGUUUAGUUAUUCUUGGUGGUUUUGAGACCAGAGCUGAUCUAUUGUUGCUCAUUAUGGUAGAUUUUGAUUAUGGACAUGGACUGGUUGUCGCCCUAUCAUGCUAUUCUUGAUUGUCACGCCAAGACGGUGAUGUUGACUAUGCUAGGUUUGCCAUGCUUGGAGUGGAGGGGUGCUUUGGAUUAUGUUCCUAGCAGGGUGGUGUCUUUCCUUAUGGCACAACAGAUGGUUGUGAAAGGGUGUGAUGCAUAUCUAGCCUUUGUGAGGGAUGUUAGUGUUAAUACUCCUACCUUUGAGUCAGUUCCGAUAGUGAGAGACUAUCUAGAUGUAUUUCUAGCGGAUCUUCCAAGCAUGCCGCCUGAUAGGGAUAUCAAUUUUGGUAUUGAUUUUUUCGGACACUCAGCCCAUUUCUAUUCUGUCAUAUCGUAUGGCCCCAGUAGAGCUGAAGGAGUUAAAGUAGCAGUUACAAGAGUUGCUUGAUAAGAGCUUCAUUCGGCCUAGUGUGUCAUAUUGGGGUGAUCUGGUAUUGUUUAUAAAGAAGAAGGAUGAUUCUAUUCGCAUGUGUAUUGAUUAUCGGCAGUCGAACAAGGUUAAAGUUAAGAACAGUAUCCACUACCACACAUUGAUGACCUAUUUGAUCAUCUACAGAGUGCUAGAGUUUUCUCAAAGAUUGGUCUGCGGUCAGGCUAUCAUCAGUUGAAGAUUCAGGAUCCGGAUAUUCUAAAGACUGCCUUCAAGACUCGAUAUGGUCAUUACGAGUUCCUUGUGAUGUAAUUUGGCUUGACCAAUGCCCCAGCAGCAUUCAUGCACUUAAUGUACAGUGUAUUCCAACCCUAUCUUGACUCAUUCAUCAUUGUGUUUACUGACGAUACCUUGGUGUACUCCCGGAGCCUGGAGGAUCAUGAGCAGCACUUGAGGAUUGUGCUUUAUACCUUGAGAGAAAAGAAAUUGUAAGCAAAAUUUUCAAAGUGUGAAUUCUGGCUUGAUUCGGUGGCUUUUGUGGGACCUCUAGUGUCGAGUGAGCGAAUCAAGGUAGAUCCGAAAAUGAUUGUAGUAGUGCAGAGUUGGAUUAGACCGUCUGCAACUACUGAGAUCCAUAGUUUUCUUGGUUUGGCAAGGUAUUACUGUCGAUUCAUGGAGGGCUUCUAAUCUAUUGUUGCACCUAUGACCAGAUUGAACCAGAAAAGUGCUCCGUUCAGGUGGACCAAGGAGUGUGAGGAGAGCAUUCAAAAUCUCAAUAUUGAUUGACUACAACCCCAGUGUUAGUGUUGCCUACAAGUUCGUGAUCUUACACUGUGUAUAGUGAUGCGUCGCGUUUUGGCCUUGGCAAAGUGUUGAUGCAACACGAUAGGGUGAUUGCCUACGUGUCUAGACAAUUGAAAGUACAUGAGAAGAAUUAUCAUGUCCAUGACCUUGAGUUAGUAGCUAUUGUACCUGCCUUGGAGAUUUGGCGGCACUAUUUGUACAGUGUUCCUUGUGAGAUCUAUACUGACCACCGAAAUCUACAGCAUUUGUUCAAACAGAAGGAUCUUAACUUGCAUCAGUGGAAAUGGUUAGAGCUGCUUAAAGACUAUGAUAUCACCAUUCUAUAUUAUCCCUAGAAGGUCGAUGUGGUGGUCGAUGCCUUGAAUUGUAAGGCGGAGAGCUUGGGCAGUUUAGCAUAUCUAUCAGCAGCGGAGAGGCCAUUAGCAUUGGAUGUUCAGGCCUUGGCCGAACAGUUUGUUAGAUUAGAUGUUUCAGAGCCGAGUUGCAUUUUGGCUUGUGUGGUUUCUCGAUCUUCUCUAUAUGAUCGUAACAGAGUGUCCGUAAGACGAUCCCCAUUUUCUUGUCCUCAGGGACACGAUUCGGCACGGUGAUGCCAAGAAGGUCACUAUUGGGGAUGACGAUGUGUUACAGAUGUACGGUCGGCUAUGUGUACCCAAUGUAUAUGGUUUGCGUGAAUUGAUUCUUCAGGAGGCCCACAGUUCGCGGUACUCCAUUUAUUUGAGUACCGCUAAGAUGUAUCAGGACUUGAGGCAGCAUUAUUGAUGGAGGAGGAUGAAGAAAGACAUGGUGGAGUAUGUAGCUCAGUGCCUAAAUUAUCAACAGGUGGAGUAUGAGCACCAGUGGCCAGGUGGAUUGCUUUAAAGGCUAAAGAUUUCCAAGUGGAAAUAGGAGUAAGUUACCAUGGAUUUCAUUGUUGGGCUCCCACAAACUCAGAGGAAGUUUGAUACAAUAUGGGUGAUUGUGGAUAGAUUGACCAAGUCUGAUCAUUUCAUUCUAGUGGUGAUUACUUAUUCUUAAAAGCAGUUAGGUCAGGUCUAUAUUCGCGAGAUUGUUCGACUUCAUGGCGUACAAGUAUCCAUCAUCUCUGACCAGGGUACGCGGUUAACAUCGCGAUUCUGGAGGGCCGUACAACGUGAGUUAGGCACACGGGUUGAGUUGAGUAUAGCAUUCCACCCUCAGACGGAUGGACACUCCGAGUGCACUAUUCAGAUAUUGGAGGGUCGUGCAUGUGUUAUGGAGCUCGGGGGUUCUUGGGAUCAAUUCUUGGUGCUUGUGGAGUUUUCCUACAACAGCAGCUACUAAUCGAGCACUCAGAUGGCUCCGUAUGACGCCUUGUAUGGGAGGCGGUGUCGGUCUCCGGUAGGGGUGGGCAUAAAAUCUGAAAAUCCGAAAACCGUACCGCACCGAAUUAAUUCGGUAUUUUGAUAUCGGUUCUUCAGUUCUUCGGUCUUAAUUCGGUAUAAUUUGUUCGGGAGUUCGCUACUUCGGUACGGUUUCGAUAUUGAACUUUCGAUACUUCGGUAUACCAAAAUACCGAAUUUUUUAACUAAACCUCCCUUCACUAUCCAACCCAUACUUAUCAAUUCCCAACCCAAAGUUUCAACUUGUUAGUUAGUACCCCUCACCAGUAGCCAAAUAAGACUAAGCCCAUCUUAGUCCCUUACCCUUACUCCCUUUUCCUUUGUCUCUUAUUUUGGUCUGAGAGCUUUAGCAGUAAAGUGGAAUCUAAUUGCUUUCUGACCGAAUUUCAUUUAAUUUGAUCAGCCGCGGGUAUUUCACCCCCAAUGUUAAAAGCUGCUUCAGGUGUAUUAUAAAACUCCACUUUAUACAUCAAGCAACUUUUGUUCUCUCUUACAUUGACAAAAUAGUUCAUGACAAAUAGUACUUGACAAGUUAUUUAACCUAAGCAAAAAAGAUAAGCACUCCCAUAAAAGUAGUUGGAAUGAUUAAUUAGGACAACAUGACUAGCCUAUUCAAUUUUCAAGCAAAACUAUUCGAGAUGGAUUCUACGCCAACUUCUGUCCAUACCGUAAUGUUUCUUCGGAAUUGCAAAAAUCUUAGAAGUCCAAGGUCACUCAGCCGAAUUGUUUUUUGUUUGUUGCCAUAAGCCAUAACUAGGAGUCACAGUAGAUUAUAUAACAAAACGGUUUGUUGUAUGUUAGUGUUACUUCUUGAAUUUGUUUCUUUCUGUUGCCAGAACUAUGCAACUGGACAGUAUAGACUUCAUUAUAUUAGAAUUUCUCAUAUAUUUAUGUAAUUUCUAAUUAAUUAGAAUUCACUACUUACUCGUUCAAGACUUGGUGUGAUACCGAAACCGUACCGAAACAAACAAGAAAAUACUGAACCGUACCGAAUUACUUUGGUACGGUAUUUGGUAUGCACAAUUGAUAAACUAAAUACCGAAAUACCGUACCACAAUUCUUAAAUACCGUACCGAACUACCGAACGGCCACCCCUAGUCUUCGGUGGGUUGGUUUGAGUCGGGCGAGGCUAGACUAUUUGGUACUAACCUAGUUCAGGAUGCUUUGAAAAAAGAUAAAUUUAUUCAAGAUCGGCUUCGCACAGCCCAAUCUAGACAGAAGAAUUAUGUGGACCGGAAGGUUCGCGAUGUUAUGUUCAUAGUUGGGGAGUGGGCCUUGCUCCGGGUUUUACCCAUGAAGGGUGUUAUGAGGUUCGAAAAGAAAGGUAAGUUAAGCCCUAGGUAUAUCGGACCUUUUCAGAUUCUUAAGAGGAUUGGAGAGGUAGACUACAAGCUUGCACUACCACCAAGUCUAGCUGCAGUUAUCCAAUAUUCCAUGUUUCUAUGCUCCGGAAGUACCACGGUGAUCCAUCAUGUGUUAGAUUAUAGCUUAGUCCAGUUGGACAAGUAUUUGUCCUAUGUUGAGGAGCCGGUAACCAUUUUGGACAGGCAGGUCCGAAAGUUGAGGUCGAAGAACAUUGCAUCAGUGAAGGUUCACUGGAGGGGUCAACCAGUCGAGGAGGCGAAUUGAGAGACCGAGCAUGAUAUAUGUAGUCGUUAUCCUCAUCUUUUCACCACUUCAGGUAUGUCUCUAUACUCGUUCAAGGACGAACGUUUGAUUUAAGAGGGGGAGGAUGUAACGACCCAGCCAGUCGUUUUGAGUAUUUUAUCUCCAAUUCCCUAUUUAUUGCCUCAUCUAUGUUUUAUUAUGGUUAUGUAAUUUGCCGGGGUGUUUGGUUUUGAUUUCGGGUGAGUUUCAGAGUGUAAUGGGACACAUAGUCAUAAGUUGGAGGCUUAAGUUGAAAUAGUUGACCGUAGUUUAACUUUUAUGUAGAUGACUCCAGAUUGAAUUUUUCAAGGUUCCAAUAGCUCCAUACGGUGAUUUUGGACUUAGGAGCAUGUCUGGAUGUUGAUUUGGAGGUUCGUAGGUCGUUUCAGAUUGAUUUAGCGAAAGUUAGAAAGUUAAAGGUUUAGAAGGUUGGAAAGUUUGAUGGGGAGUUAACAUUAUUGAUAUCGGGGUCCGAUUAUGGUUUCGAAAGUUGGAAUAGGUCCAUCAUAUCAUUUAUGACUUGUGUGUAAAAUUUGAAGUCAAUCGGAGUUGUUUUGGUAUGAAUUGGCAGUAGUUUUUAAAAUCAGAAAUUCAUAGUUUUAAUAGGCUUGAAUUGGGUUGCGAUUCGUGAAAUCAAUGUUGUUUGAUGUGAUUUUGGCCUCGAGUAGGUCUGUUAUGUAUUUUGGAACUUUUUGGUAUAUUCAGACGGGGUCACGUGGGCCCCGGGUGUGAUUCGGAUUGAAUCCGGAACCAAAUUGGACUUAGACUUUUUGCUGAAGUUCCAGCCCUUCUGGUAUCAUUGCACCUGCGGAGGGAUUAGCCGCAGGUGCGGACUCGCGGAUGCGAGUGGUGAAGCGCAUAAGAGAAGAGGGGCAGCCCAGGUCUGGGCUCGUAGGUUCGAACACCUAGGCGCAGGUGCGCCUCCGCAGGAGCGAACCUUGCUUUCGCAGAAGAGGAAUUUGGGGGAAGGCCUUGGGCAGGACCGCAGGUGCGGUCGUUUUCUCCGCAGAAGCGGGCUCGCAGUGCGAGUAAGUGGUCCGCAGCAGCGGAAUCUCAGGACAUAAGUCGGAACCGCACCUGCGAUGGUUUUUUCGUAGGUGCGGCGUCACAGGUGCGACUGAGUGACCGCAGAUGCGGAAUCACUAUGCAGAAAAGGGCUAAGUUCGAGGGUUUGAUUUCAUUAGUCAAAGUUUGGACCUAGAGAACUCAUUUUGUGGCGAUUGUUUGAGUGAUUUUCAUGAAAUUCAUAGUGGUAAGAGAUUAUAACUCGGUUUUGGUUAUAUUACACGAAUCCAUUGUUACUUUCAUCAUUUAUUUAGUGAUUUGAGUUAGAAAUUUGGGAAACAUUUGUGAUAACUUCUUAGGCUAAAUUUUGGGCAAUUGAAAGGCGAUUUGAGGUCGGAUUUGAGUAAUUCUUAUAUGAUUAGACUCGUUAUCGAAUAUAUAUUCGGAUUUUAUAAUUUUGGUCGGGUAUCGAGACGGGGGCCCGGUUGAAUUUUUGAGUUGACUAUUUAUUUUUUUUUAAUGAUCGUAACUUUAUUGUUCGGAAUAGUUUUCUAUAGUUUAUAUUUAUGGAAUGAAGUUGCUUUGGCUAGAUUCGAGCCGUUCGUAGUUGGAUAAUCGAGGGAAAGGCUUACUUUGUAUAGGGGAAUUACCCCUUAGGACUGGUGUUGGUUUGCGUUAACUGUGAUAUCUGAAAGCCGUGUGCACAAGGUGACAAGUGUGUACACGAGUUAAAUGUGAAAAUUUACCGGUUUUAGCUAUGUAUAUUACUUUCAUGCCAUAAUUGAGUUACCUUAACAUGUUAUAAUCAUCAUCGUUAUUCUAUCUUCACAUGCUCUACUUGUCUUAUCCCUUACUUUUUAAUUGCCUCUACAUGUUUAGUUGAAGUAUUGCUUCCUCUAUUCCUUAAUCAUUAUUUAACCAUUGAGUUCUUUACUUGAAGUUUUUAUUUUUAGAAUAUCUUGUUGUUGAAAUUGUUAUUGAGUUAUAAUGGCCAUGAUUUACAUUGAGGCAAAGUUAUAAAGUUGUGAAAUACUAUCCUUUUUGAGUUAUUCACUUCCGGUUGUUAUUGCGAGACUCUUGUGCAUAUUGUGGUUGAGCCAUGGGCUAUUUAUUAUGAAAAUACUAGUGUUGUGGGUUUUCUUGGCAAGUUGUGAUAUAGGGCACUUAAGGUGCAAUUUGUGAUAUGUUGUGAUAUUGAUAAACAUGUUGUGGUAUAAGGUUUUUGGGUUGAAACGCAUGCAGUGAGAUAAGGUGGGCUUGAUACGCGUGUUGCUAGUAGGAGAACUGCUUGAAGCCACGCGGUAUGAUAAGGUGAGCUAAAACGCGGGAAGCUAUUUCGAAAAAAUUAAUUUUCAAAACUAAAUGCAAGACUCCCACGGUGAUAUAAAGAAAGAUUAUGAAUUGUGUUGUGAUUUGAUACUACGAGGCGGUACCUCAGUAGUGACUCUUGUGAAUACUUUUCGAUUACUUCACUUGUGUUUUGGUUGUUCUUUGUUUCCGUGGCAUAACAUUCCUUGUUUUCUUCCAUGAUACAUUGUUUGCCUUAGUUCAGUGUAGCCAAUAUUGGUGUAUUACUUGUUUCAUUUCCAUUGUUAUUAUUACGUUGUUAAUUACUCGUUCAGUUUCUUAUUUAUUUGAGUAGGGCCUUGACCUGACCUCGUCACUACUCUACCGAUGUUAGGCUUGGCACUUAUUGGGUACCGUUGUGGUGUACUCAUGCUACGCUUCUGCACAUCUUUUUGUUCAGAUCCAGGUACCUCUUAUCAGUUUAGACAAUAGUGAGACGAGCUUAGCUUCGGUGAUUUCAAGGUAUACAUGUCGGCGUAAGCAUGCCUCGGAGUCACCCUCUAUCUAGUUUAUUUUAUUUUUCUUUUCCUUUUUAUAGACAUUGAUAUAUAGGGAUGUUCAGUACUAUCUUAUAGAGCUUGUGACUUAUUUUCGUCGGAUUUUAGAAAGGGUAUUCUAUUGAGCUACGAAGUUUUCUUUUAUGUUAAUUGUUGAGUAUUUGAAAGUUUCUUCAUUAUUUUAGUCAAAUUCCGAAUGUAUGUUAUGCUUACCUAGUCUUAGAGAUUAGGUGCCAUCACGACAUCCAACGGAGGAAAAUUGGGGUCGUGACAGACCUCCUCAAAUUUUAUGAGCAUACAAUACCCAAAAUAUCGACGACUCUCGGAGUGCUCCAAAUCACCCAACACAAUAUGUUUAUCCCCAUCUUCUUUCAAGAGUUUAUGGAAGUAUGUCUGCCUUCUUCGUCUAAUUUGUUCUCUUCAAUCAAAACUCUGAUUCCUCAUCUUUGAUGCACUUCACUUGAUCCAAAUCAUGAGCCUUAUUUUCUCUCACCUUGUACAGCAUGUACAUCUUUUUGUCCUCACCUUUGACCCCAAGUGCUUCAUACAAACGUCAAAACGCUCCAAUCUUAGCCGCAAUAACUGCUAACUUCGCCUCCUUCUUAGCCCUGCUAUACCACUCCAUGUUCAUCCUCUUCUCCACCUCGUCUAUGCUCUCCACUAGCUUCAAAAGCACCGCUUUCUUAGCUUUUGCUUUUCUGGGAACCUCUUCACUCCACCACCAAUUCCCUUUAUGCCCUCUAGUGUAACUCUUUGAGACUCCUAACACCACUCUCGCAGCUUCUUUAAUACUACUCGCGUCCCCACUGCUCUUCCCGGUCCUCAUAGCCAGCAAUUUCUCUCCCAACUCCUGAGCUUUGUCUUUAGUCAAGGUCCCCGCCUGAUAAUAUUUUUAGUCAUUAACCUAAGCGAUCCCAAUUUAAAAUGCUUAAUAAACCAAUGUCAUUGCAGUUUAUGUUGACAAAAUUUUCAAAUUCAAGAGUAGCAAUUUUUAUGAAUAAUACUUGGAGCGAGACAGCGUAUACCUUAGUUUGAUAGUAUUAGUUACUGGUACCGAUGUUAGUACUUUACUUUCACACUUGAUUAUUGUUUAUGCAGAUCAAGUUACACGACAAAGCAAAAGGUCAACUAAUUGUGUCUAUUGAAAAAAGAGAAGAAGAAACGGGGUCCAAGCUCCAUGAUUCAACUCAUGUAGUGGUGGAAUUUAAAGGUCGAAAGUAUGUGGGGUCCUUUCCUUUUUCUCUAUACCAAAAAAUGUACUAACUAUUUCAUUUUCGUUAUAUCCAUCGUUGUUUAUAUUGCAAUAAUAAAUACAUGAUACCGUCUUUUAUAUAUUCACUAAUAUUAUUUAACUAUAAAAAAUAAUAAUUUGAUGCAUGAGAUAUUUCGCAUUCAUGUAGGGUCCGAAAGAGAACCGCACCUUAAGGGGUGUGAUAGUUUAUCAUGUGUUCAAUUAUAAUAAAUUAUAUAUAAUUUAUCACUUAAUUAACCAUAAUAAAUCGAUUUAAUUUUAUGUAUUCAUGAAAUGUGAUAAGUUUUUAUCCCUUUAUAUUGCAUUUUUGGAGAAAAGGUGCUGCUAUUAUGAAGAGUACAGCUUAUAUUAUAUGUAUCCACAACAUCAAAAAAAAUUCUUUUAAACUAUCAGAACAUUCUACAUAUAUGUAACUUUAUAAAUUUGAAAAUGAGAUAAAUUAACUACUAUAACAUGAAAAACAAUUGCUAGGAGGAACUUUCCCCAAACCAAAAAACAAAACAAUCCUUAUUUGAAUUCUCAUUUCAUACGUAAAAUAAUUCUGACCAUGGUGAGAUUUGAGCACACCGUAAUUGAAAGUGGUAUUGCUUUUUCUUUGUGAGUGAGACUGACAAGUGAAAGUUUACCAGACAAAAUAAAGGAGAGGCCAAUGGUCAUGCCAGAAUAUCUUAGUAAGGAAGGAGAUGGAGAGUCCAAUUAUAAUAAGGGUCCUCCCCAUGGAUGGAAGUUUCCCUCGUAGAAUCCUUUUAACUUUUUUAUUUUCCCCAUGUGGAGUCAUUAACUAAUAAACCCAUGUUUUUUCAAAUAUAAAUUUUCUCAAAUAUUACAACAACAAUAAUUACUACACUUUAUUAAUUUUAAAGUUUCGACUGCCGAUUACAUAAGUUCUCACUAUCAGUAAAUUUUAUACUUGGCAGAAUUCUUCUUUUUGUAAAUUGUCAAGUUUUACGUUGUUUGUUAGCUUUGAAAACUCAAUUCCGAUGUCGUUUAUUCAAAAAUCAAACUUUGAUCAAUUCUAGCAACUUAAACUUUUAAAAAUGGAACUAAGUAUUCAAAUUCACUCCCAAAACUUUUCGAAAUCAAACCAACCAUCCUCGCAAAUUACAAAACCAACAUAUGGAAAGCAUCAAAUAGGAUAGCGGGGCUCAAAUACACAAAAUAACUGAUCAAAUCAUUACAUUCUGCGUCAUUGUUUACCCUAAAAUUUGGAUAACAAUUAAACAUAUAUUGUGAUUUUAAGAAUAUGUGAUUUCGUCCAAUACCAAUUGAUAAACGAAAAAAUAAAUAGAUGUAUUAGGCUGUAAAAUAAAUCAAACUAGUGUGUAAGCGAAGCCUCGACCUCGAAUCAAAGUAACCUCGAGGUGAUAUGGUAAGAACAAUAAAGAAUAAAGCAACUCUGAUGAACAGUAAGUAGAGCAAUAAGCAAGAAAGAAAUGAUUGUAUAUAUUUUUCUCACUGAGCCAUGAUGAUUACAAAUGAAUGGAAUUCCUCUUUAUAUAGUAGAGGAAUCCUAAUUAAAAUAUAUUUCUAAUUAUAGUAGGAAAUCAUGUCAACGGCUGAUUAACCGUUAUAGACUUGAUUCGAUCCGAGAUUUACGCCACGAUCCUCGAUCAAUCGCGGAUAUCUCGCCCUUUCCGUUAUAAAGCUAUGCCGAUAUUACUCAAAGUCUGUCUCUCUCUGGCCUCGAUUGAUGUCGACCUCAAUCUGAAAAGAGGCUUUGAUUUCGGACUCGACGUCCUAGCUCUUAGAUGUAACAUUCUUAUCCCGACUAAAUAGUGAAAUCGGGUACCCGAUUUCUACCGUAUACAGAUAGUCCCCUCGUUUCUUAGAAUAAAAUGAUAAGAAACGACUUGAGCCUCGAUUUUCUUAUGACCUCGAUAAACAGUGAUGUCAUCCCCAAGACGUAAGCGAUGGAAGUGACCAAAACGUCCCGUCGGUAUAGAUUCCCAAACCAUUAAUGCGCGUCAGUGGGCGGUCGGCCACUAGCGUCGUCGAACCGUCACCGUAGUUCUAUAAAUAUGGACUCUUUUGUUGAAACAAAACUUUUACUUCCAUUCUCAUCAAUCCUUCUAAGUUUCAGACUCUCUCCAUCUCUUCUCUUUCAUCACUCGUUGAGUUAGCCUUGUUAGUUUUAAAACACCAAACUUCAACACUUUCUGCUUUCUUCUGCUUGAAUCAAUGGCAAAAACUUCCAAAACCGUUCCACAAAGGAGAAAGCUUCCUCUUCUUCUUCCCGGCCGGCCAGUGAUAAAGCGCCGAUGGAACCGCUCCCUCAUGAGUAUGUUCCCGGCCCAUAUGUCUUAAAAUCCAACUUCAAAGUAGAGAACCUUUCUGUAACACCCCGAAAAAUUUUGAAGUACUUAAGUGCAAAGCCCGAUAAAAUUUGCAAAGAAAAUAAUGUUUCAUGGUGCCGGACUAGGCUUACGUGUUUGAGGAUUUUAGAAAUUUUUCGCGGCAAGGGCUCGGACUUUUUGGGUUGAACAACGCACCGAAAAGUAAAAAAAAAAUUUUGACGAAAAAGUGCAUUUCUGCGGUCCAUUAUGCGACCGCAGAAUCACUCUGCGGACCGCAUAAUAGACGCAGAGUGAGGCAGUUGAUUGGGUCAGUUGGAAGCAACUAUGCGGUCGACUAUGCGACCGCAUAACUGUUAUGCGGUGCAUUAUGCGACCUCAUAAUAGUUAUGCAGACCGUAUAGUGACCGCAUACACAGGAAGUUCUUUUGGCUAUUUUGUAACCAAAUAUGCAACCGAUAUGCGGUCCGUAUAUCGGUUAUGCGAUCACAUACCUUGUUCUGGAGCUCCAUUUUUGGGUUUUUAAAACCCGACCCUAUUUCGUUAAAUACACUCUUUGGGCCAUUUUUGAGACAUAAUCUGAUAUUUUAGAGUGAGAGAGAGUGCCCUAGAGUGAGAAGGUGUUGUUCAAUAAAUUUUCUUCAAUUCUUGCUCACGUUUUGGAAGAUUAAGAAGGGAAGCUCACUAAGUCUUCAUCCUAGAGGUAUGAUUCUACACCCUAAACCCUUAUUUCGAAAUUUUCUGAAAAUGGGUAACUAGCAAGAUAAAUUUCUGGGCAUGAGAGUUGUUUAUUCUACAUGCAUGUAUUAAAGGGUGUAGGAAGAUUGUUGAGCUAAAAAUGGUACAGAUUGGGUUGUGGGAUGAUGAAAUCCUUCAUAAAAAUGACAUUGAAACCUUAUGCACACCUAGUGUUUGAUAAAAUGCUCAAGCGAGCUAGAACCAUGAUCAUCUUCCUAAUUUUAGUUCAAUUUGUUAUAUUUCUAUAAUAGAUUGAAGUUGCUAAGAAUUCCGAAAUAUUUAGAGUGUAAGAAAGCUCAAGUGAGGUAUGUUGGCUAAACUCUUCUCUUAGAAUUGAAUCCCGCGAUAUUCAUGUAAAUUAUGUAGGUCCCAAGUGAUUUAUUAUGAAAUUGGCUAUUCCGAGUAAGAUUGGGUUGGAAGAUAUAUGUUCAACAAGCAUCCCAAAUGCUCUAUUCAUGUUAUGUUACCAAUUGAAGAUGUGUCAAAAUAUAGGUUGUGCAUUAAUAAUGUUUCGACUUUAAGUCAAGUUCAAAUGAAGGCUAUUANNNNNNNNNNNNNNNNNNNNNNNGAAAUUGAUAAUGUGAGCAUGAAAUACUGAAUAUGGCCAACGUGCCAAGAAUAAUCUUAUAAUUAUGGCCACUAGUGCCAAUGAAAUGAUAAGAUGUGAAAGUAUUAUGAAAUGCGAUGAUUGAUACAAAAGGGUUGAUGUCUCAAAUAAGACGGCUUAGCCGGUCGGGUCGUGAUCGGACACCAUGCCGCGCACACAUGGUGGUGAUUGUGCUGGAAAUUGUAAUUGAAAUGGUAAUUGAAAUUGUAAUUGAAAUCGUAAUCUUACUCCGUGUUAAAGACGGUGGUAUUAAUAUUGAGAGAAAUUAUGGUUGAUGUCUCUAAUGAGAUGGCCUAGCCGAUCGGGUCGUGAUCGGACUCCGUGCUAAGAGUACGGUGGUACCAGUAUUGUGAAUAAUGGUAUUGUGGACAAUGGUAUAUAGAUACUAAACAUUUCCCAAUGUGAGAUAUGAAAAUUAAUUUGAACACUGUCUUGAUCCUAAAUUGAGGUUUGAUGUUGAUUAAGGCUUUCAUUGAUAUUAUGAUAAUCUUAUUUGUAUUAUUUGUCAUUCUAUUGAGAGAGUGUUUAGUUAUACAUACUAGUUCUAUUCGACAGUACUAACGUCCCUUUUGUCGGGGAAGCUGCAUCUUUCAAUGGAUGCAGGUGGUUCCACAGCAGAAGAUAUUGGUCAGUGAUAGUAGUGCACCUUCUUCCCAGCUGACUUGGUGAGCCCCACUUCAUUCCGAGGUCAUGAAUCUUUUGUACUUUGUGUAUUCUAUUUGAGGUAUAGCCGGGGCCUUGUUGCCGGCAUUAUCAUUGUACUCUUCUUUAUCUAUAGAGGCUCCGUAGACAUAAUGUGGGUUGUGUAUUGGUGCUGGAGAAAGACAAACUAUGUUAUGUUGUGGACGUAUUACUUGUCCAUUUGAGACUUUAAAAUUGAUGAAACUAUUGGAAAUGAAUUGGUAUUGUAGACAUGAACACAUUUUUGCCUAAUUAAUGAUAAUAUGUAUUAUCUCCAUUCAUGGAUAAGUUUGGGUAAAAUAAAAUCUAACAGGCUUGCUCGGUCGGGUUCACUCGGUUGAGCGCCGGUCGCGCUCCUCGAUUUUGGGGCGUGACACUUUCAUUGGUCCCUGGCCGAUGUGAGCACGUGUCGAGAUAUAUCUGCUCGAUAACAGCGGGAUAUCUCGAGGAUGUGAAGAGGGAUUGUAAUUAGGGGGCCGAAGUUGUGGUACAUAUCCCCGCUCCUGAAGAGAGUAUUACCACCCACGUAGAGGGGUUUCUAAGUGUUUACACUUACCCCUUCACAUUGGGUCCCCUCGACCCAGUUAUCAUAAACUUCUGCAAGAGGUACCAGGUCACCCUCGGCCAAGUUCACCCCUCUUUCUGGCGUAUCGUGAUCAUGCUCCUAUUCUUUUCCAGCAAGGUCGGGGGGCUGCCGUUCACUCUCAGCCAUCUUAUGCGAUUAUAUCGACCCCGACUCUUACGAGGGUUGAUCAAGCUCCAGCGCCGAGCAACCAAGGCUUUAUUCUCGAGCGUCGAUGAGGACAAGGACCGGGGUUGGAUGAGCUGAUUUGUUCAAGUGAGAACCUGCGACCUCAUCCCAAAGGAAAAAUUGCCGUCCCCCGAGAGGUGCAACCCCGAGCGUAAGUAACAUCUUACUCAUUAGUCUUCAUAUUCCCAUUUUUUGACUUAUAUAAUGUCUUUAUUUGUCAUGGAACGGUUGCCUGGAUGCCUCGAGCGGUUCCUGACCUCGAGGAAUGGGUUCGGAAGUUGGCCUCGACUUCCUCCUAUGCCGAGCGCUGCUGGUGUGAAGGCAAAGGGCAAAUGGGAGGCAAAGAAUCAUGGUGAGCGUUUUUUUCUUAUUUCUGAGGUGCUAAUCAUAUUUCAUUUUUUGACUAAGUUUCCUUUUGUGUAGGCCUGAACAAGGAUGCGAUUUUAAGGCCUCCGAGCGGCGAGGAAAAGGCCAAGUCCCCGGUUUUGAAAUCGGGGAAAGGCAAGAAGAGGAAGGGGGUCUCAUUGUCCGAGGACCCCAAACCCAAAGCUCGAAGGACCAGACGGAAGGUCAUUUCUCUCACCAUGGACUCGGUCCGAAGUUUGAGAGAAGAAGAAGAAGAAGAAGAAGAAGAAGAAGAAGAAGAAGUUGACGCCUCGACGUUGGUGGCUCGACCCAAGAAGACUGUCGAGGCCGCCAAACCUUCAAAACCGGAGGUGGUUGCUGAGAUCAAGACUCAUGAUGAGGAGGCUUCCAAGAAAAGUUCGGGUGUUGACCCCGAAUCGCCUGAGGUCGAGAUUUUCCCUCGACCAUCCACAAACAUACCAGAGGGGGCAGUUCUGAGACCCCGAGAGCCGAUCAGAGCGCCCCGAGUGACUCGCUCGGGGCAGUGAUAGCAGGUCAUUCACCUUCUCUGCCGGCUUACUCCGAGGAAGCGAUAAGAGAGGCUCGGGCCAUGAGGACCCCCGACAUAGGCAGAGUCCCUAGUGAAGAGGAUCCCUUUCGGGAUUGCUUUACCGGGUUCGAUGACACCUCUGAACUUAACGAUGCGUCCACCCUUUUUGAAGAGGCCAACCGUCUUCUAUCUCGAGUAAGUAUUAAUUGUUAUAGUUCUCUUUUUCUUUUCCAUCUUUUAGUGUAACUUAAUUUCUUCCCAUAUAGGCUUUUUCCAAGUCUCGGGCCGAUCUGGCUGUGAGGCCAAGCUCCAGAAGACUUCAGAGGAGAGAAAUACUCCCAAGCUCCUUUGUGGACAAAAGGAUGAAGAGCUCAGGGACAUUCGAGCAGAUUUGGCCAAGGCUCAUAAUGAGGAGGCCGAGCUGAACGAGAAGGUAACUGUCAUUUUGAUCAAAUACGGACUUGAUCCAAGGGUGAAGACUAACAUUUCGAUGUCUCGGUUGCAGCAAAAAAUUGAGAAGAUCGAGCUGUUACAGGGGGAAGUCGAUCAAGUUACACCGGUGGAAAGAAGGCAUGGACUACCUUGCUACGGAGAAAGAGGCUGCUUUGGCCCAACUAUCAUCGGCCGAAGUUCAACUUAGGAGUGUUAAGGAGAAGAAUUCGGCUCAGACCAAAAGGAUCGAUGAGCUCAAGGGUGAACUUGCUAAGGUCCCAACAAAGGCCAAGAAGGCGAAGACUACGGCCGACAAAUCGGUGGCCAUGUAUCUGGAUGAUGCCUAGGCUGCCGAAGCACAGCUAAGGGAGGCCCUUGAUCGAGUUCAGUGGACUACCGACCUUGCCAAGCACCAAUCUCGAAGGGAGACCCUCGAGUAAAUCCAUGCUCGAGGUUUUGACCUCUCUGAGGACUUAGCACAGGCAAAGGUGCAUGAAGCUGAUGCCAGGUUGCUUGCCUCCUCCGUUGAUGACGAUGAUGAUGAAGGCAGCCAAGGCCGGUCCGAUAAUGGCGAGGGGACCGAAGAAGAGGCUGCCCACGAGGAAGAAGUCAACCCCGGUUAUAGUUAGGACUUUUGUACAUAGUUUUCCUUUUUUCUUCUUUCUUCUGUGUAAGACCUUUGUCGGUCUUCGUACAUAUUUUUGUUCAAGUAUAUAAAGAUUUUCCCUUUGAAUUCCUUCUCAAAUUCUAUCUUCAAUCUUGCUUUGUGCCUUGUAAAAUUUUGGCACAUUUUGUGUUUUUUGCAUAAUAUGUUCGAGACUUCGAUUUUGAUCAAAGUCACAAUAGUAUUGUUUUUAUAGUCGAGUUCGUGUAAGACUCGAACUCGAAGCAAUAGAACCCUUAGGUUUGUAUUGAGUAAUAAUGGAUCCUUGAUCUGUAGUCAAGUAAGUUUUUAUUCGAACUCGAGAUAGUGGAACCCAUAGGUUCGUAUCGAGUAAUAAUGUAUUCUCGAACUCUAAGUGCAUUGGCCCUUAGGCUCUUUGUAUCGGGACGAUAUGACCUUUUCCUUUUUUCGGCUUAAAGACUUUUGUAAAAUUUUGUUAUGCCUUAGCAUGUAUUUUUUACCCAUUGGGUUUUUUGAGGGUUUGAAAUUGAUUGAAACCCCUUUACCUUUUGUGCCUUGGCACAAAUUUUUAUUUGAAUAAUUUGAUACCUCUUAAGGUUUUUCGAGGGCUGAUAUUAUCAAAGCCCUUUGAUUAUUUCGUCGAGGGUAGCCUUUUUUAACCGGUUUUCAAAAAAUUAGAAGGCCUAUUUUUAUUGCGGGAUUCGGACGUCUCCGAGCCGCGUUAAUUUGGCUGUAGCCUUUGGGUAUGUCUCUUGGGAUUAUUUUCCAAUAACACUUCAAACUUGUUCGAAGUGUUAGUCCCCGAGAAUGAUGGCAUUGGCCUAUAAAUCGAGGAAUGCCUCUUUGAGGUCUUAUGGUUUCGCAUUUAGAUAAUUCAAACAUGUUGAUUUUCAAUGACAGUCCCCAAGUAGGGGGUCGAUCGUUCGAGGUGUAAUUGCACUUCGGCCCUUGAGCCAUUUUUCAUAGAAAAUCAUAAGUAUGGAGCUCGUAAAGUAGAAUUUUUUUUUUGAAGCACCAGAUAUUUGAUAAGGAAAAGUACUUCUUUGAAUAGUUCAUACAUGCGUACAUGUUUUGCCAUUCGACCGUUUGGCCCAUUACAAAGUUUUCCUAUCGAGGCAAUUUUGACAUGAAGUAUUUUUCCUUGAAAAUAAAUUAUCCGAGGGUGAUGCCCCCCAGUAUUCGAGGUUGAAUGUAAGGAGACCUAAGAUACUCUAAGUCAGCACGAACAAUGGUUGUCUCAUUAAAAACCUUGCCGGAAAAACCCAUUUGGGAUAAAAACAGGUCGAAGGAAAAAAGAGUGCAACGCAUGCUUUAGGGUCCUAAUAUCUUCCUGCUUGAUGAUAACUCCGAUAUUUUUGCCCGAACACCUGAAAAUAAGUUAGCAUAAAAUGUAAAUAAAAAAGGAGAAAGUUAUACCUUAAUAGUAAUAUCGCUUGAGGAGUGAGAUGUUCCAAUUGUUUGGCAGUUGCUCGCCAUUUAUUGUGCCUAGCUUGUAAGAUCCCUUUCCGACGAUAUGGAGGACUUGAUAAGGUCCUUCCCAAUUAGGGCUGAGUUUUCCUUCAUUAGGGUCUCGAGUGUUGAUGGUGACUUCCCUCAGGAUCAAGUCCCCGAUUCUGAAGUGGCGAAGGUUGGUCCUUUGAUUAUAAUACCUUUCAAUGCGUUGUUUUUGAGCGGCCAUUCGAACGAGGGCAGCUUCUCAUUUUUCAUCUAAUAGUUCGAGGCUAGUAUUCAUAGCCUCGUGAUUUGAUUCUUCCGUUGUAUAUCGAAAUCUGGUGCUGGGUUCCCCCACUUCGACUUGAAUCAAGGCUUCAGAGCUAUAUACUAAGGAGAAUGGUGUUGCCCCCAUACUGGACUUCGACGUCGUUCGAUAUGCCCAAAGGACUUCGGGUAGAAUUUCUCUCCAUUUUCCCUUGGUGUCGUUCAACCUUUUCUUCAAAUUCUGAAUGAUGGUUUUGUUCAUCGAUUCGGCUUGCCCAUUUCCACUAGGAUGAUAUGGUGUCGAUAAGAUUCUCUUUAUUUUGUGAUCUUUGAGAAACUUCGUUACCUUGUUGCUGAUGAAUUUCUUUCCAUUUUCGCAUACAAUAUCGACAGGUAUCCCAAAUCAACAUAUGAUGUGAUCCCAUAUGAAGUCUAUAACUUCUUUUUCUCUGACUUUCUCGAAGGCCUGUGCUUUAACCCAUUUAGAAAAAUAGUCAGUCAUAAAUAAAAUGAAUUUAGCUUUACCUGGGGUCGAUGGUAGAGGGCCGACGAUAUCCAUCCCCCAUUUCAUAAAUGGCCAUGGGGAUAGGACCGAAUGAAGUUAUUCUCCGGGCUGGUGGAUCAUUGGUGCGUACCUUUGACACUUAUCACAUUUUCGAACAAACUCCUUAGUAUCAUUUUCCAUACUAUCCCAAUAAUAUCCUGCUCUGAUGAUUUUAUGAACUAGUGAUUCGGUACCGGAGUGGUUCCCACAAGUACCUUCAUGAACUUCUCAUAGGACAUAAUCGGUGUUCCCUAGUCCCAAACAUACUGCUAAUAGUCCGUCGAACGUUCUUCUGUACAAUGUUCUAUCUUCAGCCAAUAUGAAUCGAGCAAAUUUUGUUCGUAGAGCCCUCGAUUCUUUAGGGUCCGAUUAGAGUUUUCCGUUUUUUAAAUACUCGAUAUAUUUAUACCUCCAGUCCCAAGUUAAGCUUGUGGAGUUUAUCUCAGCGUGACCUUCCUCGAUUACAGAUUUUGAGAGUUGAACAACAGUCCCCGAGCCGAUUUCGUUGUCCUCGACUGAUGAUCCCAAAUUUGCAAGGGCACCGGCUUCACGAUUCUGCUCUCGAGGUACAUGCUGCAAAGUUCAUUCUUUAAAACGGUGUAAAGUCACCUGCAGCUUGAUCAAAUACCUUUGCAUUAUAUCCUCUCGAGCCCCGAAUGUUUUGUUUACUUGGUUUACUAUUAGCAGGGAGUCGCAUUUGGCUUCGAUGACUUUCGCUCCCAAGCUUUUAGCUAGUUCGAGACCUACAAUCAUGGCCUCGUACUCGGCCUCAUUGUUAGUCAACUUAGAAGUUUUGAUGGAUUGUCUAAUAGUAUCGCCCGUGGGCGGCUUCAAAACGAUGCCUAGCCCGGACCCCUUCACAUACCGUCCAUAAAAAGGGUCCACAUCCCCGAUGAUGUACCCGAUUUCAAUAAAAGUUCCUUUGAGGGUAGGAGUGUAGUCGGCCACGAAGUCUGCCAAAAUUUGAGACUUGAUAGCCGUUCGGGGUUGAUAUUCGAUAUCAUACCCACAAAGUUUGACGGCCCAUUUGGCCAAUCGGCCCGACAGUUCGGGCUUAUGAAAAACAUUACGAAGUGGGUAAGUGGUCAAUACAUAUAUGGGGUGACAUUGAAAAUAUGGUUUUAGCUUCCUAGAGGCGCUUAUUAAAGCAAGUGCCAACUUUUCUAAGUGUGGAUAUCUAGUUUCUGUUUCACCUAGAGUUCGACUUACGUAAUAAAUAGGAAAUUGCGUACCUUGCUCUUCUCGAACUAGGACACCACUUAUCGUAAUUUUCGAGACUGCCAAAUAUAAGUAGAGUUUUUCAUCUGCCUUUGGAGUAUGGAGCAAAGGUGGGCUCGAGAGGUAUCGUUUCAAUUCUUCUAACGCAUAUUGGCAUUCCGUAGUCCAGGCGAAAUCGUUCUUCUUUUUGAGUAUAGAAAAGAACUUGUGGCUUCGAUCCGACGAUCUCGAGAUGAAUGGGUCUAAGGCAGCUAUCCGCCCCGUCAGCCUUUGUACGGCUUUAACGCUGUCUACGACAGUGAUGUCUUUGAUAGCCUUGAUUUUAUCGGGGUUGAUCUCGAUCCCUCGAUUCAACACCAUGAAGCCAACGAAUUUGCCCUAACCGACCCCGAAAGCACAUUUCUCGGGGUUGAGUUUCAUGUUGUAUUUCCUUAAUAUCUUGAAUGUUUCCUGCAAAUGUAUCAAAUGGUCCUCUGCGCGCACGAACUUAACUAGCAUGUCAUCAAUAUAUACUUCCAUUUACUUACCUAUUUGGUCUUCGAAUAUUUUAUUUACUAGGCGUUGGUAGUCAGCUCCUGUGUUUUUUAGCCCAAAUGGCAUUACGUUAUAACAAUAUGUUCCAUACUUGAUGAUAAAUGAAGUCUUUUCUUGGUCUUCCGGGUUCAUUUGAAUUUGAUUGUACCCGGAAUAGGCGUCGAGAAAACUAAGGAUCUCGUGGCCGGCCGUGGCGUCGAUCAUGCGAUCGAUGUUAGGCAAUGGAAAAGAAUCUUUGGUGCAUGCCUUGUUCAAAUCCUUAUAAUUCACACAAAUCCUAAGUUUGUUCCCUUUUUUAGGGACUACGACUACAUUUACUAACCAUUCGGGAUAUUUUACCUCCCGAAUGGACCCUAUUUUGAAAAUUUUAGUUACCUCAUCCUUGAUGAAUGCAUGCUUUACCUCAGACUGCGGCCUUCUCUUUUGCUUCACUGGCCUGAACAUUGGGUCCAGGCUCAAUAGAUGUGUUGUUAUCUCUGGUGGGAUCCCUGUCAUGUCUAAGUGGGACCAAGCAAAAAAAAUUAUGUUAUCGAUAAGGAAUUUAAUAAGCUUUUUCCUGAGUUCGGGGGUUAACCCCAUCCCCAGGUAUACCUUUCGCUCGGGUAGGUAGUCGAUCAAUAUAAACUGUUCCAGCUCUUCGACCGUUGAUUUGGUGGUGUCGAAUUCUUCGGGAACGACAAAGGUUCGAGGGGUCAAACAAUCUUCAUCUUCUUCUCCCUCUAUUUCUUGAUUCCCUGAUUCAGUCGAGGCUGGUGGCUGUGAUUGCUAUUUGGCUUCUUGUUUCCCUUUGAUGUUCGAUCCUUUCAAUGUUGACGUCGCCGAUAUUGGUAUUACCUUAUCAACCGCGAACAUAUCCUUUGCAGCAUGUUGCUCCCCGUACAAUAUUUUUACCCCGUCCAACAUCGAGAAUUUUAUCAUUUGGUGGAGAGUUGAAGGGACUGCCCUUAUAUUGUGAAUCCAUGGCCUCCCGAGUAGGGCAUUGUACCUCAUAUCGCCCUCGAUCACGUGGAAUUUGGUAUCUUGGAUAGUUCCAGCCAUGUUCACUGGUAGGAUGAUCUCUCCUUUAGUUGUCUCGUUGGCCAUAUUUAAACCGUUCAAGACCCGAGCUGCGGGCAUGAUUUGAUCUUGUAGGCCGAGCUGCUCCACGACCCUUGAUCGGAUGAUAUUUGCCGAGCUACCUGGAUCCACUAAAACACGCUUAACUUGAACUUUAUUUAACAAGAUAGAAAUUACCAAAGCGUCGUUGUGAGGUUGAGAAAUUCCUUCUGCUUCCUCGUCGUUGAAUGAUACGGCUCCUUCUGGCACAUAAUCUCGGGUCCGUUUUUCCCUGGUAAUUGAUACCUUAGUGCGUUUGAAUAUGGGCCUUUGUGAAAUAUCGACACUGCCGACGAUCAUAUGGAUUACAUGUUGCGGCUCCUCCUGUUCAUUUUUUCUGUUGGCGUCCCUUUCUCUGAAAUGAUUCUUGGCUCGAUCACUUAGGAACUCUCGAAGGUGGCCUUCGUUGAAUAGAUGGGCUACCUCCUCCCUUAACUGUCUGCAAUCUUCGGUCCUGUGACCAUGCGUGCCAUGAUAUUUACACAUCAAAUUGGGGUUUCGUUGGGAAGGAUCAGUCUGGAUGGGUCUAGGCAAUCUAGUAUCUUUGAUUCUUCCAAUUGCCGAUACAAUGCCCGAAGCGUCGAUACUAAAAUUAUAUUUUGACAACCGAGGUGCCUCUGUAUGAUCGGUAUAUUUAUCAAAACCACUUUUGCUCAUAAGUCCCCAAGAAUUCUGUCAUCGAUCACUUCUUCGAUCAUUUCGGGCGGAAUUGCGUCACGGGCUGCUGUUUCGGCGAUCUACAAUGUACGACGGAUAUCGGUCUUUGUUCAACCGUGGCUCUCUAUCGACGUCCCUAUGAUUUUUAGUUGCUGACCUGUUUGGAUACACUGAACCGGAAGGAGUUCUUAAUUGUUCAUCUUCAACCCUGAUCUUCGAUUGGUACCGAUUGUAUACAUCGGCCCAAGUCACCGUUGGAUAUUCGAUCAAAUUUUGCUUCAGUUGACGUGACUCUACCGAACUUCGUUCAUUCAAUCCCUGAGUGAAAGCUUGAACGGCCCAAUCAUCCAUGACCUGUGGCAACUCUAUGCGUUCCAUUUGAAAUCGGGAUACUAACUCCCUCAGCAUUUCAUUAUCCUUCUAUUUUACCUUGAAAAGGUCCGAUUUCCUUGUCGCAACCUUUAUGGCCCCGGCAUGUGCCUUUAUGAAAGAAUCUGCUAACAUGGCAAAUGAGUCAAUGGAAUUUGGUGGUAGAUUGUGGUACCAAAUCAUUGCCCCCUUCGAUAAUGUCUCUCUGAACUUUUUCAUUAAAACAUAUUCGAUCUCAUCAUCUUCCAAAUUGUUACCUUUGAUGGCGCAUGUAUAGGAGGUGACAUGCUCGUUAGGAUGGGUGGUCCCAUUGUACUUAGGUAUGUCCGGCAUACGAAACUUUUUUGGAAUGGGCUUCGGAGCCGCACUUGGGGGAAACGGCUUAUGUACAAAUUUUUUUGAAUCCAUCCCUUUCAAAAUUGACGGUGCCCGCGGUAUAUGAUCAACUCGAGAUGUGUAUGUCUCCAUUUUCUUAUCAUUAGCUUCAAUUUUCUUUUAUCCCAACUCGAUUCUUUUGGUGAGCUCCUCGAGCAUUUUUAUUAUUGCAGGAUCGGUCCCCGAUUCAUUAUUAUUCGACCUCUCUGGUACUGGCUCGGCACGACGGGUGGCUUCUAGUUCGACCCCACUCAGAGUUCUAUGCUGAUUUUGCAGCUGUGCAAUAGCGGCUUGCUGAGCCUGUAGCAUUUAAAAUAUUACCUGGAGAUUAACUCCUCCAUCUCCUCUACCCUGUGCACCUUGGCCACUAGAUCGGUCUUCUCUACGUACACUCCUUUCGGGGUCUGGGCCCAGGUCUACAUUAAAAGCAACGUGCGAACUGACGUCGACUGGGUUGGCAACCGGUGCUCCCCCGAGAUCAGCUUGUGGCACUUCGACCCCUGGUGCAAUUACAUUGUCAUUCUCCCCGUGAAAUCCGAGGCCAUUGUCACCAUGUUAGGCGCAUUUUGCAAGUUUGACAUGUUUUAACCUGAAAGCAAAAAUACUUGACAAGAACAAGCGUAAAAUAGUGUGUGUUAUCGGAUUGAGUACUGAAUAAUCACUAUUAUACUUAGCCCCACGGUGGGCGCCGAACUGUUUACCCUAAAAUUUGGAUAACAAUUAAACUUAAAUUGUGGUUCUAAGGAUAUGUGAUUUCCUCCAAUACUAAUUGAUAAACGGGAAAAUAAAUAUAUGUAUUAGGCUGUAAAAUAAAUCAAACCAGUGUGUAAGCGAAGCCUCGACCUCGAAUUAAAGUAACCUCGAGGUGAUAUGGUAAGAACAAAAAGGAAUAGAGCAACUCUGAUGAACAGUAAGUAGAGCAAUAAGAAUGAAAGAAACGAUUGCAUAUAUUUUUCUCAGUGAGCCAUGAUGAUUACAAAUGAAUGGAAUUCCUCUUUAUAUAGUAGAGGAGUCCUAAUUAAAGUAUAUUUCUAAUUACAGUAGGAAAUCAUGUCAACAGCUGAUUAACCGCUAUAGACUUGAUUUGAUCCGAGAUUUAGUCCACGAUCCUCGAUCAAUCGUGAAUUUCUCGCCCUUUCCGUUAGAAAGCUAUGACGAUAUUCAAAGUCUGUCUCUCUCUGGCCUCGAUUGAUGUCAACCUCGAUCUGAAAAGAGGCUUCGAUUUCAGACUCGACGUCCUAGCUCUUCGAUGUAGCAUUCCUAUCUCGACCCAAGUAGUGAAAUCGGGUAGCCCCGAUUUCUACCAUAUACAGUCAUAAAAUUAGGAAGACAUGAAACCGAUGCGGAAACCGAAUGCACAGCUGAUGCAAUGAUGGGAAAUAACCAAGUUAAAAAUGUAGAACUUCAUGAUGAAGCAUAUGACAAAAUCUAAUAAAGAGUUAGACUAUGUCCGACUACUGUAAUCGAAUAGGGCCCAUUCGGGAGGUUAAGUACCCGGAUUGGUUAGCAAAUGUAGUAGUAGACCCUAAAAAGGGAAAUAAAUUAAAAUUGCGUGUAGACUAUAAAGACUUGAAUAAGGCAUUCCCCAAGGACUCUUUCCCUUUGCCCAACAUCGAUCGCAUGAUCGAUGCGACCCGUCCACGAGAUCCUCAGUUUUCUCGAUGCCUAUUCCGGGUACAACAAAAUUCGAAUGGACCCGGACGAUCAGGAAAGAACGUCCUUCGUCACUAAGUACGACACCUAUUGCUAUAACGUAAUGCCAUUCGGAAUAAAAAAUGCAUGUGCCACUUACCAACAUCUAGUAAAUCGAUGUUCGAAGAACAAAUAUGAAAAUCAAUGGAGGUUUACAUUGACAUUAUGUUAGUUAAGUCCCCGCGAGCAGAGGACCAUUUGAAACAUUUGCAGGAAACCAUCAACAUAUUAAAGAAAUAUAAUAUGAAGCUGAACCCGGAGAAAUGCACAUUUGGAGCCCGGUCCGGGAAAUUCCUCGGAUUCAUGUGUCUAACUGGGGAAUCGAGAUUAAUCCCGAUAAGAUCAAGGUCAUUGAGGACAUCACCAUUGUGGACAGUGUCAAGGCCAUUUCAAAGGUUAUCCGGACACGUAGUUGCUUUGGGUCGAUUCAUCUCAAGGUCCUCCGACAAGCGCCAUCGGUUCUUCUCACUAUUUAAAAAGAAGAAUAACUUCUCAUGGACCCCGGAGUGCCAGCAAGCCUUGGGGGAACUCAAGUGAUACCUCUCGAGCCCACCUUUUCUUCAUACUCCGAAGGCAGACGAACAGUUGUACCUGUACUUAGCGGUAUCCGAGAUAGAGGUAAGUGGAGUCUUGGUCCGGGAAGAGGAAGGCAUGCAAUUUCCUAUCUUUUAUGUUAGCAGAACUCUAGGCGAGGUCGAAACUAGGUAUUCUCACCUAGAAAAAUUGGCGAUCGCUUUUCUAAGCGCUUCUAGGAAGCUAAAACUGUAUAUUCAAUGCCAUCCCAUUUGUGUUGUAACUACUUAAUCAUUGAGAAACAUAAUGUAUAAACCCGAGCUGUCGGGAUGAUUGGCCAAAUGGGUCGUGGAGAUCAGCGGGUAUGAUACCGAAUAUCGACCCCAAACCGCCAUCAAAUCUCAAAUUUUGACGGACUACAUGGCCGACUUUACGCCGGCCCUAAUACCUGAGGUCGAAAGGGAGUUGUUGUUGAACUCGGGGACUUUCUCGAGAAUCUGGACCCUCUUUACAGACGGUGCCUCAAACGCAAAGGGGUCCGGACAUGGCAUCGUGUUGAAGCCACUGAUAAUUAAUGUAGUUAGACAAUCUAUUAGGACGGUAAAGUUGACUAACAACGAGCCCGAGUAUGAGGCCAUGAUUGCAGGUCUCGAACAGGAUAAGUACGACUCCUUCCUUGUGGAAUCAAUGGGACAUUAGAAGUCCGAAAGGAACGAAUGCAAAGAUGCCUGGAUAAUUUGCAGGUAACGCUACAUCGGUUCAAGGAGUGGACUCUGCAACAUGUACCUCGAGAUCAAAACAGCAAAGCAGAUGUUCUUGCUAAUUUGGGAUUGUCGGUUGAUGACGACAAAUUCAACUUGGGAACGAUCGUGCAACUCAUGAAAUCAGUAGUGGAGGAAGGCCAUGCCGAGAUAAACUUGACAAGCUUAACCUGGGACUGGAGAAACAAGUAUAUAGAUUACCUAAUGAGUGGGAAGCUGCCCUCGGAUCUUAAGGAAUCGAGGGCUCUGUGCACAAAUGCAGCCAGGUUCAGCCUAUCCGAAGACAGCACCUUAAUCAAGAAAACGUUCGAUGGCCCACUCACCAUAUGUCUGGGACCGGGAGAUACCGAAUAUGUUUUGAGGCAAGUUCACGAAGGCACCUACGAGAACCAUUCGGGUGCCGAAUCGUUGGUUCGUAAGGUAACUAGAGCCGGAUACUACUGGAUUGACAUGAAAAAAGACACAAAGGAGUUCGUACGAAGGUGCGACAGAUGUCAGAGGCACGCACCGAUGAUUCACCAUCCCGGGGAGCUACUACGUUCGGUCUUGUCACCCUUUCCAUUCAUGAAAAAUGGAGAAUAAACAUCGUCGGUCCUCUGCCAUGGGCACCCGAUAAGGCUCAAUUUAUAUUAUUUAUGACUCACUAUUUUUCUAAGUUGGUGGAAGCCCAGGCAUUUGAGAAAUUCAGGGAGAAAGAAAUUGAUUUCAUUUGUGACCACAUAAUAUGCCGAUUCAGAAUGUCGGCCGAGAUCGUGUGCGACAAUGCGAAGCAGUUCAACGGCAGUAAGGUGAGCAAAUUUCCCGAAGACCAUAAGAUCAAAAGGAUCCUAUCAACACCCUAUCACCCUAGUGGGAAAAGGCAGGCGGAGUCUACGAACAAAACCAUAUGCCAAAACCUUAAGAAAAGGUUGACCGACGCUAAAGGUAAAUGGAGGGAAAUUUUGCCCAAAGUAUUAUGGGCAUGCCGUACAACCUCAAAAUCCAGUACAUGGGCCAUCCCGUUCUCAUUGGUCUACGGUGCCAAAGCAUUAAUACCUGUCGAAGUAGGAGAACCGAGUCUCAAGUUCUGAUAUGCGACUAAAGAAUCAAACAAUGAGGCCAUGAGUAUGAGCCUGGAACUAUUGGACGAGAGGCGCGAGGCUGCCCUCAUCCGGUUGGCUGCCCACAAGCAACGGAUCGAAAGGUAUUACAAUCGGAGAGCCAACCUCUGUCAGUUCAAUAUCGAAGACUUGGCGUUAAUAAAGGUGAGAAUAAACACUCGGAACCUGAAAGAAGAGAAACUGGGGACGAAUUGUGAAGGUCCAUAUCGAAUUAUCAAGAUCGUCGGCAAAGGAUCGUACAAACUCGAAGCGAUGAAUGGCGAGCGGCUACCAAACAACUAGAACAUAACUCACUUAAAACAAUACUACUGCUAAGGUACGACCCCAUUCAUUACUUUUCUUCACAUAUAUUAUGAAUUGGAUUAACACUUGCAGGUAACAGCUAAGGAAUGGUGCAAUUUUUAGGCCUGAAAGCACGUGUUGCACUCUUUUUCCCUUGAGCCGGUUUUGUCCCAAAUGGGUUUUUCGGUAAGGUUUUUAAUGAGGCAAUAGUGGAUCGUGUGAAACAUAGAAUUGAAGAUCGGUUAUGCACCGGAGUCGAGGAUCGCAUAAACAAUAUCCAAGCCCUUUAUACGAUCGGCCUCGAAUACUGGGGGCCAUCACCCUCGGAUAAUGAUUUUAGCAAGGAAGGAAACAUUGUGCUCGAACAGCCUAGGCUCGAUGGAUAGGAUUUGUUGUAAAGGCCAAACGGUCAAAUGAACCGUGCCCACAUAGACCACUUAAGCCAUAACACGAAGUUUGUAGACAUUUACAAUCUUGUAUGUUGCACACAGAAAUGAAAGAAUGUUUCUACCUUGCAGAUACAUAUUUCGUCUCCUAAACAUUACUAUAUUUUUUUCCUUAAAGACAUCGAGCCCAAGGUCCACCUCUAUCUGGAACCAAGAGAUCACCCCCACUCGAGGAUUAUGUCCAAGAUUAACUCGGACGGCUCGGGUUGUCAAAACCUGGGGGCACAAAAACCUAUUAGGCAGCGCUCGAACCUUAAAGGCAAUGGCCACCCCUACUCGGGGACUGUCGUCCUGGGUAAGACCGGAUGGCUGGGUAGCAAGCCUAUUGGGUAGAACCCGAACUGAAAAGGCUACGGCCAUCCUAAAAAUGGCUCGGAGACGUCCGAUGUCCGUAACCAAAACAUAAGGCCUUAAAAAUUUGCAAACCGGUUCAAAGGAUACCCUCGAAAAAAUUAUAAUCUAAACAAAUUCUAAGUAAGCACUUCAGGGAAGGCUUCAGAUCAUACUAAACCCCCACGAGUCAUAAGCAAAAUUACAUCGAAAACAAGCCUUGUUCAAACUUCCGAAUAAGACCGUAUUAUUACGCGCUAAGGCAUUCGAAAUCUUUGCAAUCGUAAAGAAAAAGCAACAAGAAACAAACUUGAAAAAUAGUCGAAGGGAAAAAAGAGGAGCCUUGUAUAUAUAUAUAAAUAAAGAUUUUUACAAAGGCCAAACGGUCUCAAUAAAAAUAUAAAAUACCAAAACGAAGAAAAAUCUACAAGGAACCUAAGCCUGAUCUUCGCCAGAGCCCGCCUCAUCAGCGGAACUAUCGGGGUCUUCUCCGUCCUUGGAUCCGCCAAAACCCUCGGAGCCUUCCUCGUCCUCGUGAUAUGCUACAUUCUUGGCCUAGCCCUCGAUCCUCUUAACAUUUUAGACCUCGGCCGAUAGAUCGAAACCCCGGGCAUGAACAUCCUCGAGAGCCUCCCUUCGGGACUGCCACUUUACGUAUUCAACAAUGUCUUUUAGGCGGUCCUGGACUGCCUCAGCAUCAGCUUUGUACUGGGCCACUAUCUCUUCAGCAUCGGCCCUCGUUAUUUCUGCCACUAACUUGGACACUUUAAGCUCCUUGGCAAGAGUAUCUCGUUCGGCAACAAUCGAGCCCAGUUGGGAUUGGAGGUCUUCGAUAUUUAGAGAUCGAGCCUCAGCUUUCUCCCACGCCGCUCGAAGUUGAGCCUCCGCCGAGGCCAGUUGCUCCCAGGAAGACUCCUUUUCUGAAGUCAAGCGAUCCAUCUUGCUUUUCCACUCUUCGACCUUGGCCUUAAAUACACCCAUCUCGGCUUAGAGUUGGUCAAGCUUAUGUUGGACCUGCGUGUUUUGACUGUUAGUCUCUAUGUCUAGCUCGUCAUCACUAACUUCAAAAAUCUUUACCCGUUCCACCAGGUUGGCAUGUUCUUUUUAAGUCGCGUCCAACUCGGCUCAGAGGCUCUUGAUUUCUCCUUCACGUUGCUCGCUGAGAAGCUUGUACAUGUCGCUCUUCUCAGCAAGCUCUUUGACUUUUGCCUCGAGUUGGCUAAGCUCAUCCCGGUAUCGAAGAAAGGUUUCAUGGUGAAACACCAAGGCCUGCAAAAUGGAGAAAGCAAAAGGCAUUAGAGUCCUUAAAACCUGAAUCCGAAGAUAAAAAAGAGUGAUAAGAGCUUACCCAACUCAGCUCCUGUUGUGCUUCGUUGAACAAGCAUUUGCGCAUCCACCUCAUUCAUUCUUUCCCGGUCUUCUUCGGUUACCAGGCACCGGAGGUAACUAGCUAUCUCAAUAGGUGCGAAAAGAACUCGGGAAUCCUCGGAAUGUAACAACUACUGAUCACUUCCGACCAGGAUCCGUGAUCGGGGCAGGGAACCGGUUAAUCAGCCUCGGGCUCAAGUUCGGCUCGCCAACAUCCAAGAAUGAACUUUUCCUCGACACCGCAAAGUCACCUAACCCGGUGACAUCUUCUUGAAUGGUUGAGUCCAUGCCAUCAACGAAGCAUCAAAGGGAUCGCUCGCUCCGUGGACCCCUUCGUUCGACCAUUCCUUCAUCGUUCGGGCUUCAUCAAACAUUGACUCUGUAAACGAGGGUAACCCUAAAAUUUCUAUAACAUCGUGCGGGGCAAAACUGGUGUCUCCAGAAGUCUCGGCCAUCGCUGCUGCACCAGCCUCAAAUAAUUGAGGAGGACUAGCCUCCAUUGUUUACCCCUCGGCUGCCACCUGCUCCUCAGGGACAGACGGCUCACGGGCCACAAAGAGUUCGUCCUCUUCGGGCUCGUCUCUGAGCCAUAAAAGUAGGUCUGAGUUAGGCACUCGGGAGCUGGAACUUUCCUUUGGCUUAUGAGCCAACCUUCUCCUUAUUUUCUUUUUCUCCGAACUCGGGGCCCUCUUCCUUUUUUUCUCUCCAGUUGUGGCUCCGGGCUGCCCCAAAGUAGGAAGAUCAGUAGGUAGAUCCUCGCCCCCUACCAAGGGCCUAAGCUCGAUGGUCUUAGGCAAGCCUGCAAAAGCAAGAAAAGAAGCAAUGAAGACUUAGUAUUGAAAACAGAAAGUCUAAUGUUGCCUAGUCCCUCCCAGUGACCCUUUGAGAGCUCGCGCCACGAGCGCUCGGCAUAAGGCAUCUACGAACAAAUGCCCCUGAUCCAUUCCUUGAGCUGAGGAAUGGCAUUUGGGACUCGAGCAAGGGCUGCACCAUAGCAAAUACCGAUAAGAUAAGGCAAGGCAAAACACAAAAUCAAUGUUCAAAAGGAAGUUACACUUACGCGAUACGUUCCAUUUCUCGGGGAAUGGCCUCCACUCGACUAGUAUCAAAUCAGCGGUCUUCACUUGGACAGAGCAUCCUUGCCAACCCCUAUCACGAUCCUCAUCGAUACUUGAAAAUGGUGCUUUGUUGGCCCGACGUACAAGCUUUAUCAGUCCCUCCCGGAAGAUUCGGGGACUGUAUAAGAAGAUUAGAUAAUCAAUGGUGAACAUGCACACAUCGAUUUUGUUCAUAAAAAAUCGGAGGAGGAUCACGAUCCUCCAUAGGGAUGGGUGGAUUGGUCGAGGCAUACAUUGUAUCUCUUAUAGAAGUCCACGAUGAUCGGGUGUACUGGGCCAUAAGGGAUAAGUAUCAACACUCAGAUAUCCCUCAUCAUGUGUAGUGAUAUCGUCAUCGAGCCCGGGAAUCACCACAUCCUUAUCCACCCAGCCGCAGUUCGAUAGGAAGAAUGGAUUUGGUAAUAGAGCAGAUGUACCGUGACACAGCCUCGCAUCGGUCUUGAACUAAAUAAGGUUUUUCAAUCUUAAAGUCAUCAUUGACCAACACACCCCCCGUGGACGAACAUUUUCAAGGGGGCUCGGCUGCUGGUUCAUCGACGGUCGCGCCUGGGGCAGUCUCCUCUACAUCAGUGGUCGGUUGAGAAGAAGAAUGAGCAUCUUUCUGGGGAACGCUCUUUGAAGUCUUUUCUAUUUCUUUUAUAUGGAUAAAAAGGUAUAAAGCUAUGAAGGAGAAUGAGGAGAUAGAGGAUGAUAACUGGCUAAUAAGCACACUGGCUUAAGUAAGGGGUAAGAGAAAGGUUGUAACUUGAAGAACGAAGGUAAGAAUAUUGAGGGAUGAAAGAAGACGGUAAUAUCAAGGUUCCUAGUGAAGUUCUUUGGAAAUGCCUAGAGGUGAAAGGUGUGUCGGUAGCUUACAUCAGGUUGAUAAAAAACAUGUAUGAUGGAGCUAAGACCCGGGUUAGGACUAUGCCUGGUGACUCGGGGCAUUUUCCGAUUGUUAUGGGGUUGCACCAAGGAUCUGCGCUCAGCCCGUUCUUACUUGCCGUGGUGAUGGAUGCACUCACACACCAUAUUUAAGGGAAGGUUCCAUGGUGUAUGUUCUUCGCUAAUGAUAUAGGUAUGAAUGAAAGUGAGGCGGCGUUAACGAGAGGUUGGAGGUUUGAAGACAUGCCCUUGAAUCUAGAGGUUUCAAGUUGAGUAGGACUAAGACAGAAUAUCUAGAGUGUAAGUUCAGCGACAUGACAGGGGAAGCAGACUUGGACGUGAGGCUUGACUCACAAGUCAUCCCCAAGAAAGAAAGUUUCAAGUACCUUGGAUCAAUUAUCCAGGGGGUGAGAAGAUAGACGAGGAUGUCACAUACCGUAUAGGGGUGGUGUGGAUAAAAGCAUCUGGAGUCCUAUAUGACAGGAAUAUGCCAUCGAAACUUAAGGGCAAGUUAUAUAAAGCAAUGGUUAGACCAGCCAUGUUAUAUGGGGAUGAGUGUUAGCCAGUCAAGAAUUUCCAUAUCCAGAAAAUGAAAGUAACAAAGAUGAGGAUGUCGAAAUGGAUGUGUGGGUACACUAGGCUGGAUAAGAUUAGGAAUGAAAAUAUUUGAGAGAAGGUGGGUGUGGCUCCCAUUGACGACAAAAUGCGGGAAGUGAGGCUUAGAUGGUUUGGGCACAUGCAGAGGAGAAGUUAAGAUGCCCCGGUUAGGAGAUCUGAGCGGUAGUCUUUGGCGGGUAUGAUAAGAGGUAGAGGGCGGCCUAAAAAGUAAUAGGGUGAGGUGAUCAGGCAGGACAUGACGCGACUUUAGAUUUUCGAGGAUAUGGCUCUUGAUAGGAAGGUGUGGAGGUUGAGCAUUAGAGUUGAAGGUGAGGAGGGAGUCGAGCGCUUUUCAUCUUUGUGUCGGGGGUGGGGCUAGUUUGUUAGGCUUUUCUCUUGGACUGCUAGAGGUGUAUGUUGUGUCCAUAGUAUUUUUCCGUUUUUCAUAGUAAUGUGGUAUUAUUAUUGGUUGUUGUUAUUGCUUUUCCAUAGAUUUUUUAUUUCUUACGAUGCUAAUAUUAUUUCUCUGAUUUUUGUUGCUGUCACGAAUGCUAUUGUCUAUUUUCGUCUUCUUGAUCUUAGGGUUCCUCGGAAGCAGCCUCUCUACCCCUCCGAGGUAAGGAUAAGGUCUGCGUAUAUUCUACCAUCCCCAGACCCCAUUUGUGAGAUUUAAUCGGAUUGUUGUUGUUGUUGACAUGUAACUAUUUUAUAUAGGAGUUUAUGUACAAAUAAACGACUUUAUAAAAAGCAUCAGCUUUAUUUUAGACAUAACCGAAAUGUUACAAUAUCUCUGAAGCAAAGUGAUAAAGUAAAAAAAAAAAAAAAAAAGAAACAAUCUACUUCAAAAAUUAAAAGAAAAAAUAAAACUAAAACCUAAAAAAGAAAAAAGAAAAGUCUAUUUUUAUAGCCUAUAUAUACCACUACAUUUCUGGUUCUGCCAUUCCAAGUUCACAAAACAACGAAGAAGACUCACUAAUCAAAAGCUCUCUUCUUUUUUUAUUACUCUAUUUCCUUCAUCUUCAUUUCCUUCUAAUUUGCUUCCCUAUUCGAGAUGAACAUUGUUAUAAAUAAUUCUGCCCUUUUCAGAACUAUGGUUUUACUCCAAAAUCACUUCUUCCCUUUGUGUGAGAUGCUUUCUUUCAUGUAAUUUUUAACGGGCUUGGCUAAGGUUGAAUUUGCUUGUUGCUCGAAUUCAAUUGUUAGCCACAAUCCCUCUCAUCUUUCACUUAGCCUUGAACCAACCAAUUCUCAUCAGAAAGUUGGAAAAAAAUGGAGUCUUUCAAUUUCAAGAACAUCAAAGCAGAGAAAGCAAACGCAAUUCUUAGGUACAAAAGGCUUCAAAGGAUCACAACGCUGUUCCGUGUCAUGGAGAUUUGCAUAUUUUUUGUCAUAAUCUCGAGAUUUUCCACUCAAUUGGCAUUUGUUUCCAAGCUUUUUAGUGAGUAUUUCAGGAAACUCCCGCUCGCCCUCAUUAGUCCCCGGUUCAUCUUCGUGCUUGGAAAUGUGAUUGUCAUCGUUUUGUUCUUGAAAUCUAGAGUCUCAUAUGCUAAAGAUAAUUCAUCAAUCAUAACCGAUUUCCAUGACGAGUAUAUGAAAGAAUGUGCAAAGCGCAUAACCAAUUACAGUGAACAGAGCAUAAGCAAUUGCAGAGAACAGAGUAUAAAUAACUACAGCGAACAGAGUAUGAAACAGGGGAAACAGUGCAUUCUUGGAGAGAGAGAAGUUGGAAGGAAAAUUCGAAAGAGCCGUUCAGAAAAUUUGCUGUGUGUCCCCCAGCAUGAGGAGACUAGAAGAGAACUGAGGCGAUCGGCAACGGUGGUCUGCCGAAGAAAUGUGGAUGAUGAGAUGAGUAGUGAAGAUUUCAGGCGAACAGUGGAGGAUUUCAUCGCCAGGCAACAGAGAUUGUUGAGGGAAGAAGAAGAGUUUUCAGCUGAUGUUUCUCCUAAUUUCAUAAGCUAGUUUUUGUUCCAUUUCUCGUUGAAUUUUAUUUUCUUAGGUAAAUGGAGAAAGGUACAACAAUCAUCUUUUUUCUUUAUGACCGCGAAGUAUGAUCCUUCUCUCCCAACGGGAAAAUUUUUAUUGCCUGUGAUAUUUAUACUAAUAAAUCAGUAAAUAUAUGACAUCUGCUCAAAUAUGGGGAAAAAAUUCAUUUAAUUACUAUUAAUAUACGCAUCGUCAUAUCAUAUUAUCAUUUAACCAAGAUAAGUUAACAUUAUUUUACUAAACAUCAAUUUUCAACUUCCUUAGCUCGAUAGUUUUCUUUCAUAGUGAACAAGAAACAGAAAAAUCAAAGUGGCUAAGAGUUUAAACUGGUAAUAGUACACUUCUGUUGGAUUAUAUAUGACAGCGGACAGUAUCAUAUUCACAUAUAAAUUAAAUAAUUAGUAUAUACGGAGAUUAUUCGAGUUACCUCUUGAAGCAUGAACAAAGCAUUAAUAUGGGUCUCCAAUUUCAAAGUAGCAAGACUGCGACCUCAGGAAAACGUUCCACAGUCUUCUAUUGUGUUAUCCAAAUAAUAUCCGGAAAGAGAAAAUUUUGGGUGGGCGAAAUUUCAAGGAAAAACGAGUGCAAAAAACGGUCAGUAUGAAAAGGUUUCCUUUAUUUGCUAUUAUUUAGGCAAGUAGGGACCACAGAAUUUAAUUGAAAAGGCUCCCUAUUAUGAAAUUAAUUUCGAAAUCUACCAUAAUAAAUUAUGAAUUAUUUCACUAAAAAUUCGUAAUUGCACUCCUUAGUUCAAUUUCAAAAUUUUUUCAUAAAACCUUAUUUAACUCCCCGUGUUAAGAUUCAGAUACUAAUCAAUUAAAUUAAAUUACUGACAAUUUAAUUUAUUGAUUACUUUCCUCAGACUUUUGCUUAACUGAUUUCAUGUGUCACAUACAAAAUUCACCGGUCAGACUUACACAUGAAAAUUUAUAAGCCUUCAUAAAGGAGUAUCAUCAAUCUCAAAAGCCGAGACAUGAAUUCUAUCAACUAAUUAUUAUUUCGCCAAUGUAUAUCAUUAUUGUCUAAUUACCAGUCUUAUUGACCCACGAAAGAAUCUCGCUUUUUAAUAAAUCAAAAUAAUAAAUAACACACACAACUAAUAAUAGUUAUAUCAAGAUUAAGAGUAAAAGUACAUUGAAUGAACUAGAGAAAUUAUUUUAAUAAGUCAGUAUAAAAUACUUAUCUCUGGUUGAUCCAUUCAGUACAUACAAAAUAUACUAACACAAGAAGUCGGAAUUAAAUCAUUCCCAUAAUCAAGAUAAAUUAUAUUUAAUCUUGUGCAACAACCAUGGUUUGUCCAAUUCAAUCAUUAGGUUGUGAACAUAAACUUUAUAGCUUAUAAGAAUCAAUGAUUUAAUCUUCCGUGUAUAAGCUAAAUCAUCUAUUAUAUAAGCAAUGGACACACGGACAAAUACAUGAUCUAUUUAAAAUAAAACUUUAUUGAAUAGAACAAAUAAAUAAAUAAUUAUUCCAUAAAGAAUACUAUAACAAUACGCAUGGUUUAUAGUAUAUCCUAACAACUUCAAUUAUCAUUUCUUGCAAGGUCGGCUCUAACAUUAUUAGAGGCAAGGCUUAUGCAUUAACCCCCAAAUUUGGGGGCUCCAUUUUUAAAAAAUAAUAGGUUUAUAACUAUUUAAAAAAUAAUAUUUAGUACUUUUAAUGUAAAAGUAGAGUUUUUAAUAUAAAAUAAAAGAAAGUUCGUUAUAUAUAUAUAUAUAAAUAAAUUAAUAAUAUGAUGUCAUGACCCAAAACUUAACUUGUCGUGAUGGCGCCUAACAUGGUACUAGGCAAGCUGACAACUCAGACAUUCCCAACACUUUCAAAUGAAAAAUGUACUGAAACAAGUUUAAAUAAUUAAAACCCUCAUAAACUCGAUACAAGAUCAUAUCUCAAUAUGGAAGUUCCCAAAACCAGGGUGUCAUUGAGUACAUGAGCAUCUAUACAACACAAGUCUAAAAUACUAUCUAAGAAAAACUGAAACUGAAUGAAUAAACUGAAAGAUAGGGAGGAGAGUCACGUCUGCGGAUGCCAAAGCAGCUAUCUCGAUGAUCUCGAAAUGUCUGCACUCUGUGAAUAAGCAAAUACCUUGACCGAAAACAGUUGGAUCUGCACACGGGGUGCAGGGUGUAGCGUGAGUACAACCAACUCCAUAAGUAACAAAUCAAAUCUUUGUACUGAAAGUAGUGACGGACUCGAAUAUUACAGCCCACAUAAAGAAUUAACAAUACGGUAAUUCACGAAAAAUAUGAGAGUGAUAUCUCAGAAAUUCAUAAUCUACAGAUAAUGGUACAAGAAUUUAGGCAUGCUUUCAGGUUUUGCAAUAAACUCAACACCGAACAGGGCAGAUCCAGCCCAAAUACAAAUAAAUCAGGGCAGAUCCCUAAUUUAUCUUAAUCGCGAUCGCGAAAAUUGCUUCGCGAUCGCGGAGCACAAUUUAACUACCCAGAUAUUCGACCUUACGCGAACGCGUCAAUCCUCACGCAAACGCGAAGGACUGCUUUCCUUAACCUACGCAAUCGCGUCCAUCUUCAGGCGAUUGCGAAGAGCAAACCCUUGACCUCAGGUGCUGCCUCUUAUACUCUACGCGAACGCAACCUUAGUCGUGCGGUCGUGAUUCACUGCAUCCUACAACUACGCGAUCGCAGCCCCUAUCUCACGAACACGUAGAGCAAAGACCUCCACUACCCAAUUAAGCCUACGCGAUCACGAACCUGUCCACGUAAUCGUGUAUAAGAAAACCAGAAUAAUGCACCAGAAAAUUUCAACAAAUCUCCAAGUCCAAAAAUUGAUCUGUUAACCAUCCGAAACUCACCCGAGGUCCGCGGGACCUUAACUAAAUAUACCAACAAGUCCUAAAAUUAGUCGAGACUUCAAAUCACAUCAAACAAUGCUAAAAUCACGAAUCGCGCAUCGAUUCAAGCCUAAUGAACUUUUAAACUUCUAACUUCUACAUUCGAUGCCGAAACCUAUCAAAUCACGUCCGAUUGACCUCAAAUUUUGCACACAAGUCACAAAUGAUAAAACAAACCUACUCCAACUUCCGAAACCCCGUUUCGAUCCCGGUAACUACAAAGUUAACUCUCGGUCAAACUUCUAAAUUUUUAACUUUCGCCAUUUCAAGAUUAACUCAACUACGAACCUCCAAACCACUAUCCAGACACACUCAGUCCAAAAUCACCCAACGAAGCUAACAAAACCAUCAAAACUCCAUUUUGAAGUCAUUUACAUAUAAGUCAACAUCGGUUUAACCUUUUCAACUAAAGCUCCCAACCUUGAGACUAAGUGUCUCAACUCAUUCUGAAACAUCCCCGGAACCGAACCAACUACCCUGACAUGUCACAUAGCAAUUAUUAAGCAUAAAAUGAGCAGUAAAUGGGGGAACGGGACCACAACUCAAAAUAACCGGUCGGGUCGUUACAUAUGACUUGCUUAAAAUGGGUAGAUAAAUAGUUUUCCCAACCUUCCAAUUUUUUACUUUUUACUCCUUCAAUAGAUAACGUGUAAAAAUUUUAGUCUCCCUUUCUUAAUUUGUUCAAGUCAAUCUUUCGUUUACCCAAUGUCUUUGUUUACCUUCAUUAUGGAUGACAAUUGAAUUUAUGUGCGGUUUUAACGAUAUAUGGAAUAAUUCAAUACAAGCGAUUAAUAACGUUAGAUUGGCAAAUUAAAGAUAGAACAAAUGGCCAAACCAGUAGUAGUAUUGAGUCCGAGCUCGGUUAUGAGAUUAACAAUUAGCGUGCCUUCGGUUCGGAGCCAAAUACUUAUGAAGAACUAUGAGCAAAAAUAAGAACUUUGAAUAACUUUUAGAAGCAGAGAAAACAAAUGUAUAUUGCAUUGGUAUGCGUGUUACAGUAUGCCUCUUGAAUAAAAACUAUCUCUUUUAUAUAGUAGAAGAGUUUCAUCCCUAGUACAAUUUUGUGAAAGGUUAAAGAUCUUCUUUUUCGUUAAUUACUGAUCUGUUGCCGAUACGGGCCGAGAUUCACGCCGUGAUACCCAGUCUCGCACGGAUAUCACAGCCCUUCACUAGCCGUGUGCAACUUCUUUGUAGUAUUUUCUAGAGUCAUGGGCUCGAACAGGGCCUGGGGUUGUGGUGUCGAUAGCUUUGAGGGCAGGUGUUUUGUUCGGGCAUUGAUACAAGAGGUUCCUAGCUUUGAUUUCGAUUCCUUAUAGUUACGUCCUUGCUUCGUUUGUCCCAUCGAGAAAUAGGGGUGCUCAUUAGCCCUUGAUUUACCCAUAUACAGAUAGUCCCCUUGUUUCUUAGAGAGUAGGUUUGCUGAAGCGAUGAGAAACGAUAGAUGUUCUCUAGUUCCUUCCUCUAUACGUUACAACUGAAAUGACGAAGAAAUCAAAACGUCCCAUCAGUCGCGUCAUUCGAAUUUCGAACACGUGUCAACCAUCGGCUAGUUGCCUUCGAAUGUGAAGCGUCGCGUACUUCCCCUAUAAAAGCUUCUAUCCUCUAUUCUUUUUCCACUUUCCGAUCAAGUUUCCACCUUCAAAUUUUCCAGCUAUCACCAACUUCUUUCAAACCUUCAUAUCUUCAUCCUUGAUCUUCAAAUUCUUAUAGUUGUUCUUAGGUUCUUACCCUGCUUUUCUUCAAAUCUUCAUACACUGCUCUUUAGAUUUCAAAGUUGUUCUUUCAAAUCUUUGUGUUUUUUCUUUAGAUUUUCAAACUUUUCUAGAUAGCAAUGGCUAAAACAUCUAAAGCAGUACCUCAGCAGGUUGCCUCUUCAUCUUCCCAACUGGCCGUUAGUACCGAGGCGGUCGCUCCCAAAAUAGUUUUUCCUUGAGACGGCUGCUCCCAGAGUGGCUACCACCGAACCGGCCCCCGAGGCCCCCUUAAAAAGCUUUAUUCCCGGGGGCUGUUCAAUUGCGAAUGACUUCAAGGUCAAGAAACCCUCAUCCAAACAAGACCGGGGUAAAGGUGCAUCGAGGUAUAUAUGCUCUGUUACCGAACAUGUCCUUCCCGUGGUCCGAGAGGACUGUAAAUGGGAAGGUAAGGACGUAGUAGUCCCCAGGCCCAAGGAUUCUAUUACUACCCACGUGGAGGGGUAUUUAAGUCUUUACACUUACCCCUUCACACUAGGCCUAGCAGACCCGGUUGUUUUGGAUUUUUGCAAAAGGUACAUGGUGUGCCAUGGGAAAAUCCACCCAUCUCUUUUGAGGAUCAUAAUCCUCCUCCAUUAUUUUAUGGACAACACCGAGUCUCGUCGGUUUACCCUCGACCACCUACUCUGUUUAUACAGUCCCCAAAUUUUUCGAGGGCGACUAAUCAAGAUUACUCGUCAGGCCAGCAAGGCCCCCUUUUCGAGCAUUGAUGAAGACCGAAACUGGCAGGAAUGCUUCGUUCGGAUGAAGACUGAUGAUCUGAUCCCUCCCGAGUUCAUGCCAUUCCACAAAAAGUGGAAUGCAUCUUGUAAGUGCGGUUAUUCCUUAAGUGUAAAUUUUUCUUCAUUUUAUUUCUCAUCAUUCGUAUUUGGUUAUGCAGCUGUUGCCCGGGUUCCAAAUGCGGUCCCCCGGCCUAAGGUGUAGAUCGAGGGCAUCUGCAAGUAGAUGUCAUACUUCGAGCGCUCAUGGUGCAAGCUUUCGAAGAGCCGAUGUGAGGCCCAUUCUCAUGGUAAGGUUCUCCUUUGAAUAGCUAUUAACUUGUUCUUAACUCACAUCAUAUUGACCUUUCUUUUUCCUUUUAUAGGUUUGCCUAAGACCACCGAACUUAGGCCUUUGGAAGGGCUUGAGGACAUGUCCUUGUCCAUUAAUCCAUCUAUUACGGGACAGCCCGGGGCUACCGCGGGGAAAAGAAGAAGAGGAAAAGAAAAUCUUCGGGCUCCUCGGGUUUCGAGGUGACCAAAAAGAAGAGGGUGGCUCGUAAGCCCAAAAAGAGUACCAGCUCUGGGGUUCCAGAUUCCGACUCGCUUCUCAGGCUCAGGAAUGAGUCGAAAGAAGACGAUAUUUUUGUUGCCCAUGGAUCGACUCCUCCCAGGGAGCAGGCCACAGCUGUGGGGAUGGACCGUGAGACCAACCACCCUCUGACUCAAGAGAUCCAGAUGGAGACAGGGGCUGAGACCCCCGAGAAGCUGGUUGCACCAAAGAAAGCGACCGGUGUAAUAGAAAUCAUGGGAAUGCCUUCUUACACCGAGUCCAUGCUUGAGGGGGCCCAAGCAGGAAAAGAGAAAUCAAAUGAAGGAGUCCACGGUGCACACGAUCCACUUCAUUCCUUCUUCAAUGGUGUGGAUUGUCUAUUUUGGAAGAUUUUUCAAGGCUGGGCGACCUGGAAGUCCCGAAGAAUGAUAUAUCUUCGGAGGCUGGUGGGCCGAGUUCAAGCCCAAAGCUGGUUGAACGGUUUCCCGCUUAGAGUGUUGACCUUGGUCACAAGAGAGCGGUUAUUCUCACUGUCUCGGAGGAUGCCCAAGUUCUAUCUACUCCCGUGAGGGUAGCCAGGUACGUCUGAUGCCUGGUGACCGAAGAUGACUGGGCAAAAAUGAACGAGGUGGAUGUGCCGUGUCUUUCCAAUGAGGCGGCAGGCGCAGUACCGGGUAAGGCAUCAUUAUAUUUUCUUGAAUUUUACUUAGGUUUUGAUAUCUCUCAUGACUUUCAUCAUUUUGCAGGCCUCGGUACUUCACCACGAGAGCUUCCUCCUGUAUCGUGUCGAGGUUAAUAAACUCAAACUUGAGCUCAAAGAGCAGGUUCAAAAGAAGGAUACGUACAAGCUCAUCAGCGAGAAACAAGACAGUGUCGUCAAGGACUUUUAGGCCGAGCUGGAUAGGGCUCAGAAGGAAGCAUUGACCCUAAGGCGGGAACAUGCCGACCUGAUCGAAAAGGUAAAGGACUUUGAGGCUAUAAAUGAGGAACUAGUCAUAGUGGAUAACAACAAAACCUCACAGGUCUAACAGAAGAUCGACCAGAUCGACCAGCUCCGAAUCAAGAUAAAUGAGGUCCAAGCCAUGGCCGACGGGUGGAAGAGCAAAAUGGACCUACUGGCUUCAGAGAAGGAAACCACCCAAGCAAAGCUUACAUCGGUAGAAGUUCAACUUUGGGUGGCGAAGAAGAAAGCCAACAAGCGGUCCCAGCUGAAUGACAAUCUCCGAGCACAAUGGAGCUCAGCUCUAGUAGAGCGGGACGCCCUCGGUAUAGAAGACAAAGCAGUAAAGUCCAAGUUGGACACAACCUGCGCCGAUGCCGAAGCGAUGGUGGCCCUGUACAAGGCCGAUGUCAAAGCAGCUGAGGCCCCCCGAACACCAAUGCCGAAUAUAUGAGGCGAUUAUCUCAAAGGGAAACCCUUGAAGAGAUUCAUGCCCGAGGCUUUGACAUGUCGGCCGAGAUCAAGGAAGCAAAAAAUUUUAAGGCCAAGGCGAAGAAACUUUCCGAGCCCGAAGGUGCUAAAGACUCUAAGGGUUCUGAUGGAUCCGAAAGUUCUGACGAUUUUGGCGACUAAUCAGGCCCCAGUGAAGAUCAGGCAUGAAUGCCUUAGAACCUUUUUAGUUUUUGUCUUAUGUAUAUUUUUUGUUUAUAUUGAGGCCAUUUUUGUUAGGCCUUUGUAAAUACAUUCUGGAAUAUAUAAAAUCUCCCUUUCUGGCAAUUUUGAGUCUCUACCUUUUUAGCAUCUUUUCAUAAUUUCUAUUCUUGCAAAUAUUUCUAAUGCCUUAGCAUAGAAUCAAAUGUAGUAAUAAAUCGUUCAAUUUCGGACGUCUGAACAGAGCCUGACUUUGAUGCAACUUUAUUUGCUCGAGGCUUUGAAAACUCGGAGUGACCAAAAAAUUUUAAGUGAUUUUAGACAAUGAUUUUGUCGAGGGUAACCUUUCAACAGGUUUUGAAUUUUUAUGAAGGCCUUAUGUUUUUAUUACGAUCUUCGGACGUCUCUUAUCCUUUUUUAGGGUGGUUGUAGCCUUUGUGUUUAGGCACUACCUAAUAGAUUUUGUGCCUUCAGGAUUUGGUAGCCCGAGUUGCCUGAAGACUAUUAGUAUGACAGUCCCCGAGUAGGGGUAGCCCUUGGGCUUAAUAGUCUCCGAAUAGGAUUAAGAUAUAUGUAUUAAGAGGCAAAAAUAUGUGAUAGCAAUGUGGAAACCUUCUUUCAUUUCUGUGUGUAAAGUACAUGAUCGAAAGCGGGCAAAAUCUUGUAUCACGGCUAAGGUGGCUAUGUGGGCACGGUUCACUUGACAUUUGGCCUGUACAAUAAAUCCUAACCACCGAGCCUAAGCUAUUCAAGUAUAAUGUUUCCUUCUUUCCUUGCUAAGAACCUUAACUCGAGGGUGAUUGCCCUUGUAUUCGAGGUCGUUCUUGAGAGGACUCGGAUAUUGUUGAUGCGCCCAUUGACUUCGAUUUAAGACCAGCCUACAAAUCUAAGAUAGCACGAUUUGCUGUUGCCUUGUUAAAAAACUUGCCGAAAAAACCAUCUGGGACAAAAUUGGUUCGAGAAAAAAAAGAGUGCAACGCAUGCUUUCGAUCCCAAUUGUAACAUUCUACCUUGGUCAUUGCCUGCAAGUGUUAGUCCGAUUCAUAAUAUUAUUAAAAAGUAAAUGAGAUUGUACCUUAGCAGUAGUGCCACUUUAAGUGCGUCACGUUCCAAUUGUUCCGUAGCUGCACACUAUUUGCUGCGGUAAUUCUGACGACUCAAUAUGGUCCUUCCCAAUUCGGCCCCAGCUUUCCCUCAUUCGGGUUCCGGGUGUGUAGUGUUACUUUCCUUAACACCAAGUCCCCGAUCUUGAAGUGUCAUAGAUUGGCUCUUCGGUUGUCAUAUCUUUCUAUCCGAUGUUUCUGGGCGGCCAACCGGACUAGGGCGCCCUCACGCCUAUCAUCCAACAGUUCCAGUCUCGUGCUUAGGGCCUCACCAUUUGAUUCCUCAGUCACAUAUCGGAACUUGAGGCUCGGUUCUCCCACUUUGACUGGUAUCAACACUUCGGCACCACUGACCAAUGAAAACGGGGUGGCCCCGGUACUAGACUUCGAAGUUUUACGCUAUGCCUACAAGAUUUCGGGCAAUAUUUCUUUCCAUUUCCCGUUGGCAUCAGUCAACCUCUUUUGUAGGUUUUGAAGUAUGGUCGUGUUUGUUGAUUCCGAUUGUCCGUUCCCACUAGGGUAAUAUGGUGUCGAUAGUAUAUUAAUAAUCUUAUGGUCUUCGAAAAACUUAUUUACCUUUCUGCCGAUGAAUUGCUUCUCAUUAUCACAUACGAUCUCGGUGGUAUCCUGAACCAGCAUAUUAUGUGGUCCCAAAUGAAGUCAAUGACUUCUUUUUCCCAGAAUUUCUUGAACGCUUGAGCCGAACCUAUUUAGAAGAAUAAUAGUUCAUUAACAGUAUGAAUUGAACCUUACCAGGAGCCCACGGCAAGGACCAAUGAUGUCCAUUCUCUACUUCAUGAAUGGCCAUGGGGACAAAACCGAAUAUAGUAGCUCUCCGGGUUGAUGGAUCAUCGAUGUGUGUCUCUAACAGUCGUCGCAUCUUUGUACGAAGUCCUUUGCAUCUUUUGCUAUAUCGAUCCAGUAAUAGCUGGCCCUGAUUAUCUUCCGAACCAAAGAUUCUGCCCCUGAAUGGUUUUCGCAAGUGCCUUCAUGAACUUCUCUAAAGACAUAUUCGGUAUCUCCUGGCCCCAAUCAUAUGGCGAGCGGGCCAUGGAAUGUUCUUCUGAACAGAGUCCCUUCAGACUGGCUAAACCCAACCUCUUUCGUGCAUAGAGCUCUAGAUUCUUUAGGAUUAGAGGGAAAUUUAUCAGUCUUCAAAUAAUCUAUGUAUUUGUUUCUCCAAUCCCAAGAUAAACUUGUUGAUUUUAAUUCGGCAUGUCCUUCUUCUACUACCGAUUCCAUGAGUUGUACUACUGUUCUUGAACUGAAUUCAUCGUCAUCAAUCGAUGACCCCAAGUUAGUUAGAGUAUCGGCUUCACUAUUUUGAUCUCGGGGCACGUGUUAUAGGGUCCAUUCCAUUAAUUGAUGAAGCGUUACCUGCAAUUGUCUAAAUACCUUUGCAUUUGUACCUCUUUUACUUCGGACGUCCCAUUGUCCCUUCGGACUGGCGCCAAUUUUUGGAGGUGAGGAUACCUUUUUUCGGCCUAGCCUAGAGUUCUACUAACAUAGUAAAUAGGAAAUUGCAUACCUUCCUCUUCUCGGACUAAGACUCCAUUUACCACCACCUCGGGUACUGCCAAGUAAAGGUACAACUGCUCAUCCGCCUUUAGAGUAUGGAGCAGGGGUGGACUCUAAAGGUACCGUUUGAGUUCUUCAAAGCUAGUUAGCACUCUAGAGUACAAGAAAAGUUAUUCUUCUUCUUCAGUAAUGAUACCAAUGGCUUUUGUCUGAGGACCUCGAUAUGAACUAGACCAGGGCGACCAUGCACCCAGUUAGCCUUUGAACGGCCUUGACACUGUUCACCAUGGUGAUGUCUUCUAUAUCUUUGAUUUUAUCGGGGUUGAUCUCGGUCCCUCAAUUGGACACCAUGAACCCAUGAAAUUUUUCGGACCAGACCCCAAAUGUGCAUUUUUCGGGGUUCAACUUCCUAUUAUAUCUCUUCAAUAUGUCAAAGGUUUCCUGAAAAUGUUUCAAAUAGUCCUUUUCUCGAAGGGACUUAACUAACAUAUCGUCACUAUAAACUUCCAUCGAUUCUCCUAUCUGUUCUUUGAACAUCCAAUUUACAAGGCGUUGAUAAGUGGCACUGGCAUUCUUUAGUUCGAACGGCAAUACAUUAUAACAAUAAGUGUCAAAUUUAGUGAUAAAGGAAGUUUUUCUUGAUUGCUCGGGUCCAUCUAGAUUUGGUUGUACCUAGAAUAGGCGUCGAGAAAGUGGAGUAUCUCGUGCCCGGUUGUCGCAUCGAUCAUACGAUUGAUGUUAGGCAAAGGAAAAGAGUCCUUAGGGCAUGCCUUAUUCAAGUCUUUUUAAUCUACGCACAUACUUAAUUUAUUUUCCUUUUUAGGCACUACCACUAUGUUAGCUAACCUGUCCGGGUAUUUAACUUCCCAAAUGAAACUUAUUUUAAGGAGUUUAAAUACCUCGUCUUUGAUGAAGGCAUGCUUGACUUCGGACUGAGGCCUCCUCUUUUGUUUAACCAACAGAACUUCUGAUCCAAAUUCAGCUUGUGAGUGGUUAUCUCCAACGGGAUCCCUGUCAUAUCAAGAUGGGACCAGGCAAAACAAGAUAUGUUAGUUUAAAAGAAACUAAUGAGUUCUUUCCUCAUCUUGGGGGUCAACCCCGUGCCCAGGUAUACAUUUCAAUCCGUCAGGUGUUCGGUCAAUAUAACUUGCUCCAGUUCUUUGACCGUAGAUUUAGUGGUGUCGAUAUCAUCAGGAGAUAUGAACGAUCUAAGAACUCCGUAAUCAUCUUCCUCAUUGACUUCUAGUUCCUCCGGUCCGAUCGGGACCGGCAUCGAUGAUUGCUAUUUAACUUUGGCCUUUCUGGUCGGCUCCCUGCUUUUUAAUGUCCAAAAGGCAGGUACUGGGUUUACUUCAUUGACUGCAAACAAAUCCUUUACAACCGGCUGCUCUCCGUCCAAUGUCUUGAUCCCUCCCGAUGUAGGUAACUUUAAUGCAUGUUACAAGGUUGAAAGUAUCGCCCUCAUGUUGUGAACCCAUGGUCUUCCCAAUAGAGCAUUAUAUCUCAUAUCCCCUUAGAUCACAUAGAAUUUUGUUUCCUGAAUGGUCCCGACGGUGUUCAACGGUAGGGUUAUCUCCCCUUUAGUAGUUUCACAUGCCAUGUUAAAUUCGUUCAACACCCGGACUGCUGGCACUAUAUGGUCUUAUAAACCCUGCUCUACAACCCUUGAUCUAAUGAUGUUGGCCGAGCUACAUGGAUCAAUCAACACACAUUUAACUCAAGAUUUAUUUAUAAGUACACAUAUUACCAGUGCUCCAUUAUACAGUUGUACGAUGCCUUUGGCAUCCUCAUCGUUGAACGAAAUGGUUCCUUCCGGGAUAUAGUCUCGGGUUCGUUUUUCCCUUGUGAUGGAUACCUUAGUGUGCUUUAGUAUUAGUCCCUGGGGACAUCGAAUCCUCCAAUGAUCAUGUUGAUGAUGUGUUGAGGUUCUUCUUGUUCGGUCUGUUUGUUGGAGUCCUUGUUCCUGAAGUGAUUUUUGGCUCGAUCACUCAGAAAUUACCGGAGAUGCCCGUUACUAAAUAACCAGGACACUUCUUCUCUUAAUUGUUGGCAGUCCUCGGUUCUAAGGCCAUGAGUGCCAUGAUACUUACACAUCAAGUUAGGGUCUCUCUGGGUAGGGUCAGACUGCAAUGGUUGAGGCCACUUGGUAUCCUUGAUGCGCCCGAUGGCAGAUAUGAUACUGGCUGCAUCGAUAUUAAUGUUAUAUCCCGUUAACCUUGGUGCCUCCCUGGCCCGAGUGGCCUGUCGAAACCGUUUUUACUCAUGAGUCCCGGCUAUUGUGGCCUCAAUCAUUCCUCUAUUUGUUUCUCGUAGUGUUAAGCCUAGAUCCGUUACCUCUUCGAUCUCCGUUAUACAGUUGAUACCGGUAUCUGUUCGGUCUUGGUUCAUGAUCGAUGACUCUCUUAGACCUGUCAUUAGUUCUGAUGGGAUAACCAGACUCGGAGGGGCCCCCAAGUUGAUCGUCCUCGACUCUAAUUUUUGACUGGCACCUGCUACAGACGUCGGCCUACGUUACCGCCAGGUAUUGUAUCAAAUUCUAUUUCAACUGCUGUGAAGCCAAGGAGCUUCAGGGGGUUGAGUCCUUGAGUGAAUGCCUGAACGACCCAAUCAUCCGCAACCAGAGGCAGGUCCAUCCGUUCCAUUUGAAACCUCGAUACGAAUUCCCUGAGCAUUUCGUUGUUUCUUUGUUUUACCUUGAAAAGGCCUUAUUUUCUGGUCUCGGCCUUGAUGGCCCCGGCAUGCACUUUCACAAAGGCAUCUGUAAGCAUAGCAAGCGAAUCAAUAGAAUUUGGGGGUAAGUUGUGAUACCAUAUCAUUGCUCCCUUUGACAGGGUUUCUUUAAACUGUUUUAAUAAAACUGACUCGAUUUUGUCAUCUUCUAAGUUAUUUCCCUUUAUGGCCCACAUGUACGAUAUUACGUGCUCAUUUGGAUCUAUGAUUCCAUUAUACUUCGGAAUAUCGGGCAUACGAAACUUCUUCGGAAUUGGCUUCGGUGUCGCGCUAGGAGGAAAAGGCUUUUGGACAAAUUUCUUGGAGUCCAGACCUUUCAAUAUCGGGGGCGCUCCUGGGAUUUGAUCAACUCUGGAGUUAUAGGUCUCCAUUUGUUUGCCAUUGGCCUCAAUUUUCUUCUCCCCCGAUUUCACACACUUUGUCAGUUCCUUAAGCAUUUUUAUUCUUUCGGGGUUGGCCCCGGGCUCAGCUUCACCCGGCCUUUCUGUGACUUGCUCAUUUCUUUGGGUGUUUUCAUGGGAUGGUUCGGGCUAAAAUCUGCUGGGGGUGUGGCUUUGAUUCUGCAGUUGUGCUAUCGCCACCUAUUGGGCAUGAAACAUUUCGAAGAUCGUCCGCAUAUUGAUUCAGUCUCCUUCACCUUCGGGCGUACCUCAAGUCGUUGGUUGGGCUCUCCGCGAAUGUUGUUUUUCGGGUCGGUCGACAGGUUAGCAUCGAUGGUAACAUGUGAGUUGGCAUCUAUCGGGUCUGCAACUGGGACUCCGUUGGGAUCAGCAGGGGGCACCUCGUUUCUAGGUACUACAUUGUUAUUUUCGCAAUGAUGGACAGACUCAUCAUCAACGUUUAAGUGAGCAGACUGAGAGUUUGACAUUCUUAGGUAGAUCUAAAAUUAAAAUCUCAAAGAACAAGCGCAAAAUAGAGUGUGUUAUGAAAAAUUAUAUCAAACUACCACUACUAUCCUUAGCCCCAUGGUGGGGGCCAAAUUUUUUACCCUUAAAAAUAGAUAACAGUUAAAUUUAUACACAAUUUUAAGGAUAUGUGGACUAAUUAACUACAAGUGUCUAAUAACGUUAGAUGAGAAAAUUAAAGAUAGAAUAAACAACCAAAUCAGUAGUAGUAUUGAGCUCGGUUAUGAGCUUAACAAUUAGCAUGCAUUCGAUUCGGAGCCAAAUAUUUAUGAAGAACAAUGAGCUAAAAUAAGAACUUUGAAUAACUUUUCGAAGCAGAGAAAAGAAAUGUAUGUUGCCUUGCUAUGCCUGUUUUAGUGUGUCUCUUGAAUAAAAAUUAUCUCCUUUAUAUAGUAGGAGAGUAUCAUCCCUAGUACAAUUCUAAAAAAGGUAAAAAAUCUUCUUUUUCAUUAAUUACUGAUCUGCUGCCGAUACAGGCCGAGAUUCACAUCGUAAUACCCGGUCUGGCGCGGAUAUCACGGCCCUUCGCUAGCUGUGUGCACUGCUUUGUAGUAUUUUUCAGAGUCAUGGGGCUCGAACAGGGCCCGGGGCAUGGUCUCGAUAGCUUCGAGGGUAGGUGUUUUGUUCGGGCCUUGAUACGAGAGGUUCCCAAGUUCGAUUUCGAUUCCUUGUAGUUAUGUCCUUGCUUCGUUUGUCCCACCGAAAAAUCGGGGUGCUCAUUAGCCCUGGUUACCCGUAUACACUCUUCAUAUUCAAAACCCUACAUAUUUUUUGUCUUUCUCUUUAAUAUUCUUACUCACAUUCUUUCUCCAAGAUUUUAUUAGUUUAAGUGUUCGACAAUACUUUUAAACUUCCAAUAGCUCUAUACUUCUAUUGCUCUAUAAUAACUUAUUUAAAAUUAACAAUAUCUCAAGAAAGACUAAAUGAGUUGAGUAUAGUAUCAAUUGAAAAAAGAAUUAUUUGAAAAAAUAUUUAUAAAAAUAUUAUUAACAAUUUUAUACCUUAUAAAGCUAGAAGAAUAUUUCAAACAAAAAUAUAUACAAUAAAUUCUUUUUAAAAAUUUAUGCCUCAUAUUAAAUUUUGACCCCGCAUAUACUUGAGCGGCCCCUAAUUUCUUGGCGUUGAGCUAUCUGCAUGGAAGCCAACUCCCAUGUCGCUUACUACUACGAUGACCCUUACUUGAUUUCUGCUCCGUUACAUAUUCACAAGAUCUAAUCAUAUCUUAUAAUUACCUACACUAUCUUGACUAUGACAAUACGUAAAAGAUUUGUAUCAUACUUUAUAUUCAUAAUACGUAGGAAGCUAACUCAAUCCAAAAAGUAUUAAAAUCUCAUGUUGAGUCAUUAUGGUUUUAGUAUUCUCAAAAGAAUAAUUCUUUUUCAAGGAAGAUUAGACAUAUCGCGUGUGGACAAUAGAAGCAAGGUGAUGAUGGCUACUCACUUCAUGCAUUCACACGUAUUAUUAGCAUAGUUCCAUGACCUUUUUGGAUCCUAAAAAAGUUUCAUAACCUUUUUACUAUUGAUAUUAUUGUUAUUUGUUUUGCCAUUAUUUUAAGAUAAAAUAACCAAAGUAAAUAUAGUUGUGGAAUAUAGGUAUAUAAUAUAAAAUCAUGCUACUGUUUUAGUAGUAAACCAGUAAUAUGAGUAUUGAAUAUCUUAGAUGUAUAAGAAAGCAUAAAGAAGUAUAUGGGCAAAAGCAGAUGUAGAAAUUGACUUGGUUUUGCCAGCCUUUGUCCUUUCUUCAAUUUCCAAAGAAGCACCUCUACCUUUUAAUGCACUUAACUAUUUUGAUAUUUCAACAAAUCGUCUCUACCCUACUUUUAUUCCUAAAUCCUAACUAAGACACAUGAUCUUAGAGUUUUUUUUGCAAAAUUUCUUUCCUGAAGGACAAUGUCGGAUGGGAUAGGAUAGAUCAUAAAAAAUAAAAAAUAAUAAACAAAAUUAUAGCUAUUGUCGUUUGUAGAGCUUAAUAAGUAAAAGCUGAAUCGGGAUUUAAGCUUUAUGGUUUUUAAAUUUUAGGAUAGUAUCAUCCGGUGUUAGUAAAUGGGUUUUGAAUUUAAUAUUUAGAUAUACUUAGUGAAUUUCAUAAUACAAAUACAUGAUUUGAACUAAAGCUAUUGAGUUUAACUUAACUAGUACAUCGACUUCUAGCUCCACUCCUGUCAAUAAAAGGUUGAGACCAAAAUGUUAAAUAUAUUUGAGGAAACAAUCGAAAAAUAUGAACGCAUGUUCAUAUCUAUCACUAAAUUAGAUAAAAUACUUUUUUUUUUAGUAUGUUCCAAAAUAAGUGACACAUUUCUAAAUUUAGAAAUAAUUCAACUUUAAACUAUUCAUUUUACUCAUUUUACUCUUAAUGAGAAGCUUUUAUAACCACACAAAUAUCAUGGCCCCACAAAGUUUUUACCCCUUAAGUUUUUAAGGUCAUAAGUUUCAAAAGUCUUUUCUUUUUUGUUAAACUUCAUGCAGAAUGAAACUAACUCAUCUAAAUUGAAAUGGAUGGAGUACUAUUUAGCAAUAUGUAUCUGAUACCAUCUACAUCGAUGUUCACCACCAAAAUUAUUAAAAAGAUCUCUCUUACUAUUAAGACAUAGAGGAAUAUAACUGGAACACCCUCUGAAUAUAGUCGCAAGAAGUUAUUUUAUUUUAUUUUUCUUGUUUAUCCAAAGUGAGACAAAGAAAUAAAAAAAUCGUAGCUGCUUCUAAUUUCACCUAACUAAUAGUGUUCCGAACCUAUUUUCUUUUUGGUACAUUUCAAAAAGAAUGAACUUUUUCUAAAUUUAGAAACAAUUUAGUUUAAACUUCAAAUUAUACCUUUAAUGAGAAGUUUUUAUAACCAAACAAUUACUCUGGAUUUCUUUUAACUUAUUUAGGACCACAAAUUUCAAAAGUCUUUACUUUUUUUUAAACUCCGUGUCCACUCAAACUGCAUCACAUAAAUUGAAACGGGAGUACUGUUUUAGUUAAAUGGAUUUUCGUAACCUUUUAAAAGCAUUCCACUAUCUCAUACGUAUUGUUUUAUUCGACCUAACAAUCUUAUGUUCAUAGGUUGGCCGCUUUUAGAUGUCUAUUUCCUUUUCUUUCUUCUUUUCACCAACCCAUUGCUGUCUUACUUCCAAUUUCCAAAAGUGGAAACUCCUGUAGAAGUAACAAGUGCCCCCAAGAGAGUUGAAUUUUUCCCCGAUUAGCCCUUAACUCCUAAAGUGCGCAAAUAUUAAUUUAUUUUAGGAACAGAAAGACAAAGAAUCUUGAAUAAUAAUGCUUAAUUGGUAAGUAUUACUCUGACAUUUCUCCUUCCUUUACCACUUGCAAAUCAAGAGAGAACGUACUUAACUCACAGCUACCAAGCUUCAGAAGGGUUAAUUAAUAGUCUUAACCGUGUACUUAUAAGACCACAAACUGAACACAAUUAACAUAAAUAAUCUGCCACACCUCCUUUUUCCCGCAGGAUAGGGAUAGCGGAGUUUUUCCAAUUUAAGUGACAUUAAUCGAAUUGAGAUUAUUUGUUUAUUUUCAGAGUCGUCACUCGAAAUUAUUUAUUUACGGUGUUCCGAGUCACCAUUUAUUUUAAAAUCUCAAAUCGAGGAAGUUUUGACUCUGUUUUAAAGUCUGCAAAAACCAAAAAAUCGGGUAAGGAAUUCUGUUAACCCGGGAGAAGGUGUGAGGCACUCCCGAGUUUCGUGAUUCUAGCAUGGUCGCUUAACCAUUAAUAAUUGGCCUAAUUAUCUGAUUUAUUAUAAGUUUUAAACCUAUUGUGCAUUUUUAACCUUUUACCGCUUAUAAUUAUUUAUGGAAUUAUUUUGGAACAAGUCACGAUGUCGUACACUUGUCGUUUUGGUACACGUCGCAAACCGCGACACAUGAAAUGCACCCGCAAUUUACGACGUGUUUAUUUUAAUUAUUGUUUGAAGUUAUGGUCGGGUCACAUGAAAUCCACACCCGAAUGGGAUUUACGUAUUACGACUAUGCCACGGGAACCGUACCCAUAGUUUUGAUGAUUUAAUUACGCGCCUAAAGCAAACUACAAUGUUUAUGGAUUGUUAAUAUCUAGGUUUGAGAUAAAAACAUGAAGGUCAUUUGUUUUGGAUGGACUGCAGAUAUUCUCGCCUAAGUCCGCUGGGGGUGAUGAAUUGGUAAAAAGGAAAAACUCUUAUUAAGGAUUUCAACAUGGCCCAAGUAUAUAGGAUGGGCCUAAGACAGAUUCCAAAUUUGUAGGGCAUGGACUGAAGUUAUACUAAAAAAAGAUUCAUAGAAUCUUCAAUUUAUAAAUACAUCGUACUCAAAAAACCCUUCAGGGUCUGGCCCAAUUAUAUUAGCUUGACUAAAAUGAAACUGGCCAUCAUGACUAGCCCAAUAGCACAGGAAGAUUACAUUGCACAAAGAAGCAUUAAUUAAUAAUUUAAUAAGCAUGAGAAUUAGGAAAAAAAAAACUACUAGUUAACAGUUUAAUUAAUUACAAGUACUAAAGAGUUCGCAAGAAUUUCACACGAUGCUAAAUGUAGUAGGAUUUACAAAGUUUUUCCCUAAUAUUAAUCUACAUGCCAUUAAUGAAUUAAAAUAAACCGUGACAACCACUGUAAUUAUCACUUAAUAUAUCUAAACACAUAUUUCCAAAACUCAAUACAAUGGAGCUUAAGGUUACAACAAACUGUCCAUUAAUCAAAUUUUCCUAACAAGACAAAAAAAAAAACUAAAUGAAAUUGUCUAAAACUUUAUUAGAGCUGGUUCUAUUUCAGCUGAGCCCUCUCCCAUAGAAUCAAUCUCCUGGAUCUUACUCCAUUUGCCAGAUUCUCACCUUACAUGUUCCUGAUGCAAUCAUGACUUACUCUGAUUUACACAUGGGUUGCUGUGGGCUGAUUCCAUGUCCUUAACUCAAACAAUGCUCAAUGGUCACUACUCAAAAUGCCGUAAAUUUCAUAAUAACAAUUAGUUCAAUUGAAUGCAAAUAAACCAAGUCUAGAUCCAACUUUAUAAAGGUUAUGCAGAUUUAACUCAUUUCAAUCAUGAACUAAGCUUAUACAAAUAUCAUUUAGCUUGAAAUCAAUUAGCUAUACCUUAACUAACUAAAAAAAACACAGCAACAGAAUCAAUAAGCACAGCUAAACAGAAUUCACAGUAGCAUUUGAAAUAGAAUUCCAGCUUUCAUUAAAUAUCAAGUUCAACAUUUGAGGUUUCAGAAUAUACCUAGAUGCAGAAAACAGCACUUAACAAGACCAAAUAAAGGUCAGAAAACCAGAAGGGCAAAGCUCAGCAAUCCAAAAACAGCAGCAGCAAACAAAUAAUAACAAAGAACAGCUCCAGAAUCAAACUUCAAACUUGAGAUAUCUUAGGAAUUCUAUGUGUGUUUUUUCUACUAUUAAUGCAGGAAUUGAAAAGGAAAAUGCAAGAGUUUUCUAUUGAGAAUGCAGAGAAUUCAAUGUGUUUUCAAAUAAAUCAGUGUGUGUGUUAUGAAAGAAUGUGAGUGCCUUUAUAUAGAGCAGGGAUGUAAAGGGAUAGGAAUGAGAGGUAUUCCCUUAAAAU